rnacentral:lncRNA from 1 species
GGGCAGCACCACUUCCUCAUUAUAUCACUUCCACUGCAAGGCCACAUCAACCCAGCCCUCCAAUUCGCCAAGCGCCUGAUCAGAACCGGCGCCCACGUCACCUUCGCCGUCUCCGUCUCCGCUCAUCGCCGCAUGCCCAAAGGUCCAACCCUCCCCGGUUUAACCCUAGUUCCCUUCUCCGAUGGCUAUGAUGAUGGGAUCAAGCUCGAAGAUCAUGCCCAACACUAUUUGUCCGAGAUCAAGCGUUGCGGAUCAGAAACCCUCAGGCGGAUCACUGCAAUAAGCUCUGACCAAGGCCGACCAGUUACUUGCUUAGUGCACACCAUGCUCCUUGCUUGGGCGGCAGAGCUGGCGCGUAGCCUUCAGCUUCCGUCUGCGCUACUUUGGAUUCAGAGCGCCACUGUUUUCAUCAUAUUCCAUCAUUACUUCGAUGGCUAUGGUGAUGUGGUUGGAAACUGCAGCAAUGAGGGUUCAGAUCCAAUUGAGUUACCGGGGCUUCCAAUGCUACUGUCUAGCCGUGAUAUUCCGUCCUUUUUUCUCUCUUCAAACAUAUAUGCUUCAUGGAUCCCAGCAUUUCAAGAGGACAUGGAGGCACUAAGGCAAGAGACGAACCCCAAAGUGCUGGUGAACACCUUCGACGCACUGGAGGCCGAGGCGCUACGAGCUGUGGAUAAGGUUAAAUUGAUUGGAAUUGGACCUUUGGUCCCAUCUGCUUUCUUGGAUGCAAACGAUCCAUCUGAUUCUUCUUUUGGAGGAGAUAUUUUCCAAGAUCCGAGCAACUGCAUCGAUUGGUUGAACUCCAAGCCCAAGUCAUCAGUCGUUUAUGUAUCGUUUGGGACACUUUGUGUUUUGUCAAAGCAACAAAUGGAGGAGAUUGCACAUGCUUUACUACACAGCGGCAGGCCUUUCUUGUGGGUAAUAAGAUCAGCGUCCGAAAACGGAGAAGUAGAAGAAGAGAAGCUGAGUUGCAGAAAAGAGUUGGAAGAGAAAGGGAUGAUAGUGGUUUGGUGUCCUCAGUUGGAUGUUUUGUCACAUCCAUCAUUGGGAUGUUUCAUUACACAUUGUGGGUGGAACUCAACGUUAGAGUGCCUAGCUUCUGGAGUUCCAGUUGUGGCAUUUCCCCAAUGGACGGAUCAAGGGACCAACGGGAAGCUGAUUGAAGAUGUGUGGAAGACAGGCGUUCGGGUGACAGCGAAUGAGGAGGGAAUAGUUGAAGGCGAGGAGAUCAAGCGGUGCUUGGAAGUCGUCAUGGGAGGUGGAGAAAGAGGCGAAGAAUUGAGAAGGAAUGCUGGGAAAUGGAAGGAUUUGGCAAGGGAAGCUGUGAAAGAUGGCGGAUCUUCCGACUGCAAUUUAAAGGCUUUUUUGGAUGAAUUGGGACAAGGCAGUAUGAUUUAGUGAAAGUUAAAUUGUGUUGAUAUAAAGUUGUGUUACUGAUUGAACUCGUUUCUGGUGUUUUAUGGCUUUCCCAAAGGCUUAGAGUGCUUGUUGUUAGUGUAACUGCAUCCGGAGAAAAGAGAAAUUUCAAAUUUGUAUUCUCCAGCCUAUGAACUAAAAGAUAUCCCCCUAAGUCAUUUGCUUGGCUUGAUCAAUUGAUUUUGAAAUAAAAUUCAUAUUUACUUUGAAGCUUUUGGAAUAAAAACAUCUUGCUUUCACGAAAAACUGUUCUCUCUCCUCAUGUACUCUGUACUCAAACCUGAUAUCUGUCUCUCUCAUCUCUCUCUACCGUGGUUGUCAGUUGUCACUAAUGUCGGUACUAAACCUGAUCUCUCUCUAGAUCUCUAUCAUCUCUCCCUACCUUGUUUGCCAGCUAUAUCAGUUGAUUAUGAGAUUGAGAUCCACAUGAAAUGAACUGUGUUUGUCAGCUAUGCCACACAGAGUUUUUCAUAGAAACCCAGAGAAUUCUAGGGGAGACUCCAUCAAGCGUGACAAGAAAAGCAUUUGUCGUUCUGUCCUAUCCUGGGAAAAGACAUGUGCGACCCACGCUUUUCCAUUUUACAUGGUGGAUUCGUGAAUUUUUAUUUUUAUUUUUAUUUUUUAUUUUACACCCAUUUUUGGGAUUUUUUUUUUCCAUUUGAAAUCUCCAUGUUCAUACCAAUUGAUUUUUUAACCAAAAAAAAAAAAAAAACAACUAUUGAUGAUUUAGAAUUUGUUUGAUAUAGGAUUUUUAUUUUUUAUUUUUCUACUACUUCAAAAUUUUUAUAUAAAAAAAUUAUUUUCAAAUACUAGAUUAUAUAGAAAUAUUUAUUAAAAUCAUUGUCUAACAAAUACUUAAUCUCUAUACAAUAAUUGGAUUACAGAUAUAAUAAUUUUAUUAUUAUUAUAAUUAAAAUUAAUACAAAGAAGUUAAAAUUAUAUCUAAAUAAUUUAAAAUUUUAAAAUAUUUUAUUCUUUUUAUCUUUAGUAUUAUCAUAUUAAAUAUAAAACAUAAAUGUAGUAAUAUUUCAUUAUUUUAUUUUUGAUAUAUUAAAUAUUAAAUACAAAUGUGUUAAUAUUUUUUUUUAUUUUGUGAAAUAGGAGAAUUAUUAAAAAGAAAUAUUAUGUAUUAUUGAAUGGUAAAAUAAAAUUUUAUUAUUUAUUUCAUUCACACUUCAUUAGUAUUUCGUUAAAGAAUCAUUUUUCAGAGGCAUGCAAGUCGGUUAUGGAUAGUUGUUUAUGGCCCCAAUGUGGCUUUACAACACAUAUCAUUUAUUGACUAAUUAUCUACAUACCUAAUUCCAGAGAUUUAAUUAUUUUAUUAAAAAUUUGGUAGAAAAUUCUACAAAGCAGUUGGAUCUUUAUCAUGUAUUAAACACUAAAAAAAUAAGAAGAAUAUAAAAAAAUAAAAAAUUUCAUAUUCUUUUGUUUGAAAAGGAGCACUCACGAUCAAGUCAUAAAUGAGGAUAAGUCAAUCAUUGAGAGAGUAUUUUAUAAAACUUAAUACUUAUUACUUGAUAAUUUAAGUUGACUUUAAGUUCAAUUAUAUUAAAGUUGUUGACUUAAAACUUAUUACUUUAAGUAUUAAAGUUGUUUAAUAAAAUUAACUUAAAACUAACUAUGAAUAAUAAAAUUAACAUAUUUAUCUUCAUAAAUUAUAAUUAUGGUAAAGAAGAUUAAGUAAUAAUGGAGGUUGUAUAUUAGAAAAAGAGAUCGAUGAGGUAAUUAUGACAAAUGAAGGUAAAAAGGUAAAACGAAAAUUUAAACUUAAGAAUAAGUUAAUUAUGUUUUCUUAAUAUUUAAAAUUAUUUUUAACUUUAAGUCGAUCAUACAUUUUUUUAUCCAACAUAUUUAAUUUAUUUAAUGACUUAAAUUAAGUUAUUAAGUUACUUAAGUUAGUUGGUUUAUCAAACAUCUACUUCGUUUGAAAGUUAUAAUGGAUAAGGUAUUGAUUGAAAUACCUUAAUUGCAAUAAAAUGGUUGAAUGAGUAAUUUUUAAAGAUUUUAAUAUAAGAGUUGAAAUUCUUAACCAAUCACAAGGAGAAUAAAUGAUUUUACUUAGAAAAGCCCAACAUAAAGUGUGGAAGUAAAAAUGAGAUCUUAGAUCGAUGAUCCAUAAUAUAAAAUUUUAAUAUACAAUUUUACUUGACAACCGCUACCUAAAACUUACUCUUUAGCACCUAUAUCAUGAUUCAUAUUCGUGAUGCAAUACCUCGAAUGCUAUAAUUUACCCCAAUGAAUAUGAGAUAAUAUAAUAACAUUUAAAUUUAUUUUUAACAGCCAUGAUUAGCAAAGAAGCAAGAAAUUAAACUAAGGGAAUUGAAUCAUGCUAACAUUAUUUUUCGCUAACUAAAUGAUGUCAUAAAAUAUAUUAUAUUAAAUUAAUAUAAUAAUUUUGAAUAAUGAAACUCAAAGUGUUGAAUUAGAGUUACAAAUAAUAAAUUUGCAAAUUUAAGCUUAUUGUUUAUUAUUACUGUUGUUGUUAGUGUCCCCUCCAAUCAUUAUAUAUAUCACCCAUGCAACUCACCGGCCACACAAACACAUCCUCAGCCACAGCAAUGGAGCAGCACCACUUCCUCAUUAUAUCACAUCCAAUGCAAGGCCACAUCAACCCAGCCCUCUUUAAUGAAUUGGGAGGAGGCAGUACUCUUUAAUGAAAGUUAACUUGUGUUGAUAUGAAGUUGUACGACUUACUUUAUGCUGUUUUAUGGCUUUCCUAAAUGCUUAGAGUGCUUGCUUUGGUCCCAAUCAGCAUGGGGCGAUCACAUUCAAAUAAAAGACAUUUGUACUCUGAACCAUGUCCUAGGUGCGAGUGUAACUGCUUCUGGAAAAAAGAGAAAUUUCAAAUUUGUGAUCUCCAGCCCAUGAACUAAAUGAUCUCUCUCGAAGCCAUUUGCUUGGCUUAAUCAAUUGAUUUUGAAAUAAAAUCCAUAUUUAUUUUUCUAUACUGUGGAUGAUUUAGAAUCGUUUGAUAUAAGAUGGUUUUUUUUUUUUUUGAAAAAUAAAAAUUUCUAAUGUUUGAAAUUUUUUAUUAAAAAAGUUGUUUUCAAAUAUUAGAAAAAAAUAAAAAUAUUUUUUAAAAUUACUUACAAACAAAUACUUAAAAUGCGUCUAUUCAAAGUGUUUUUAGUGGAAAUAUUUUUCUAAAACGUGUUUCAAAUUAAGAGAGUCACCUAUAAAGUGUUUUCUUAGAAAAUAUUAUAAGUAAUUUUUUAAUACUACAAAUGAUUUUUUUAAAUUUUAAAAAUAUUUUUCAAAUUUUAUGAAAUGCCUAAUAUUUUUCAAAAACACUUUUUAAAAUAAAAAUGUUUUAUAAAAUCAUUGUCAAAUAUACUCUUAGAGUACAUAUAAUAAUGAUCCUAGAAAACAUUUCUGUUUUCUCCAAUAUAUGAUCAAAAAAAUAAAAAAUUUCAAGUAUUAAAUUAGAAACACUUGUUAGAAUUACUAUUAUAAAGAAUCUUAAUAUCUUACCCGUAGUUAAAUUGAAAUCCAACCAUUAAUAUUAUAUUAUAAAUAUAUAAUUUAUGAACUAUUAUAAUUAAAAAUACUGGGAAGAAGUUAAAAUUAUGACUAAAUAAUUUAAAAUUUUAAAAUAUUUUCUCUUUUUAUAUUUAAUAUUAUUAUAUUAAAUAUAAAACACAAAUGCAUUAAUAUUUCAGUAUUUUAUUUUCACUAUUAUUAUACUUUUUAUAAAAUAUGAAUGUGUUAAUAUUUUUAUUUCAUUAAAUAGGAGAAUUAUUAUAUUUAAUUAUUUAGAAGAAAUAUCAUAUAUUAUUAAAGAGUGAAAUAAAAUUUUAUAAUUUAUUUUAUUCACACUUCAUUAGCAUUUUAUUAUUAUUCAUUUGAAUUUCAUUUGUAUUAUAAUUUUAUCGUAGAGGUAGGCUAUGGAUAAUUUUUUAUGACUCCAAUGUGACUUUAAACUAUACAUAUCAUUCAUUGACUAAUCUUCUGCAUACCUAAUUAAUUUGAGAGAUUUAAUAAUUUUAUUAAAAAAUUUGGUAGAAAAUUCUAUGAAGAAAUUGGAUCUCUAUCAUGUAUUAAACACUAAAAAGUAGAAGAACAUAAAUAAUAAAAUUUUUAAUAAUUCUUUUGUUUAAAAAGGAGUACUCACAAUCAAGUCACAAAGAAGGAUAAGUGGAGCAUUUGGUUUGUAAGUUAGAAUGGGAGAAGUAUUAGUAAUGUCAAACAGUAAUGUGAGUGAGAGGAAGAUGCAUGCGACCUUUAAUUUAUUUAAAUAAGAAAUUAAUCUGAAAAUUAAGAUACUUUUGUUUUAAUUAUUAUUAUUAUUAUUCUUGUUUACCACUUCUUGCCGCUGAAGGAGAGGGAGGGUGGGUUGGAAACCCUGGCAUUAAGAUGGCCAUUUGUGUUUUGACAACAUAUUGACAUAUAUAUUAUCUAUAUUUAGGCCCUAUUUGGUAAUUAUUCUUUAAAAUAGUUCUAAAAAAAUAAUUUUUAAGAAUAGUUUUUAUAAACUGUUAUAUGAUGUUUUAUAAAAUAAAAGUCUAUUUGGGAAUAUAAAAUAUUUCUAAUUUAUUUUUAAUAUUUUUAAAUAUGUUUUAAAAAUAAUUUUUAUGUCUAGAACUUUAUUUUUAAUUAUUAUACGUGUUUGUAUAAUUAUUUUUUUUAAAUAACUAAAAAAAAAGUGAAAAUUAAAAACAAUUAAAAGAUGUUAUCUGAAAGUACCCUAUUUUCUGUUCUUGACAACAAAAAAUACAAAACAGUUUUCGGCUCACCAAAGCCACCUAUUUACUCAAUUCUUAUCUCUUGUACUCAACAAAUGUAACCUUCAUUUGUUGAGAAAACAGAAAAGGUCUUCUUCUGUUUGUUCUGCUUGUUGCAUGAGAAAAUUCAUAAGUUUCCACUUUUUCCUUCAACCUCUUCAUAUACAACACCGUUAGAACAAAUCAAUUCUGAUUUAUGAGGCCCAGCUUAGUACCCUCUUUGAAUGGAUAUCAGUAUCAUAUUCACUUUGUUGAUGCCUACUUUUAGCUUACAUAAACUUACAUGCUGAAACAAAAGUCUAAAGCAUUUCAAUCCUUUCUUACCUUCAAGUCUCAAGUUGAACUUCAACUAGGAUACAAAAUUAAAGCUAUAUUACAAACUGAUUGGGGUGGAGAGUGUUGCACCUCCACCUAUUAUCUUCUCUCAAAUGGCAUUAUCCACAAAACCUCAUGUCCCUGCACUCAUCAACAAAAUAGGCGUAAACAUAUCAUUGAACAAAGACUUACCCUCCUAGCAUAAGACUCUUUUACCUCUCAAAUGGAUGAGGCCUUUCGCACGUGUGUUUUUGUUACCAAUAGAUUACCCACCCUGAUUUGGAAAAACAUAACCCCACUUGAACUACUUUUCUGCACAAAACCAGCUAACUCCCAGAUAAAGGUAUUUAGUUAUACUUGUCAUCCUAAUCUAUUGUUAUAAUUUUUUACAUAAAUGAUUUAAACACUUAUGCAGAAUAUAUAUUUUGGGUUGCUGGAACACACGUUUUAUUGAUGAAGAAUGUUGAAUUUAUACAUGAGUUUGUAACUGAAAUGAAAUUAGAAUAACAAAAAAUCAUGCUACUAGAUAAUGAGCAACUACUUUCUAUAAAAUAGAAACCAAAUAACCAAAUCUUGACCAAAUAAAAAAUAAGAAAACAUUUGGAUGUUGCAGAUUUUGUUAAGGACUACAGUUGCAAUAUUUAACUUCAAAAUUCAAAUUCCAAUAGAUACUAAGUCAAAAUUCAAAUUCCAGUAGAUACUAAGUCAAAAUUCAAUGGUUAUCCUAAUCUACAAUUUCACAACAAAAACAAGCUUUAAUGCCACUCCAUUCCCUGCACAUUUCUUGGCUACAAAUGUCUAAGCCCUGAUGGUUGUAUCUUUAUCUCUCGGGAUGUUAUUUUUUAUAAAUUCACCUUCCCUUUUGCACAAUAAGCAUCUCCAUCUUCCCCCAUUUCACGAUCUCCCUCCCCACUUCCUUCAUUCUCGUUAAUGGUUUUCCCCACUUCUACUUCUUACCUGGCUCCUUCACAAGUACCCCCUUCCUCAUUUGUCAGUCCAAUUUCCAAAUCACCCUACCUCACUCACGCCUCUCCGCCUGACCUCUCAUUGUAUGUUCAACUCCCACUUCCACCCCCUACUUAGCCUCUUUCUACUACCCAUCAUCACAUGACCACACACUCCAAGUUUGAUAUCUUUAAACCCAAGGACUUUACUAUCUCAACCAUACCAACUUCGGUCAUUGAAGCACUCCAACUUAGUCAUUGGAAACAGGCCAUGAGUGAAUAUCAGAGUGUUGUUACAUUGUUGGUCGAAAUUUCAUGGCUCUAAUCUCUUCUUCGAGAACUCCAUAUUACUUCCUCUACCACUCUUAUAAUCUGGUGCGGCAACCUAAAAAUAGUUCACCUUUGAGUAAAUCCAUAUCUAUCAUGUUCCCUCAUGCGCUCAACUUGUAGACCUCUUCACCUAAGCUAUUCCCUAGCUCUCAGUUCCUUAGCAUGCGAGACAAACUCAGUGUCCCUACUCAGUUUGAGGGGUCCGUUAGAGAAGAUUCGUUCAGCUACAACUGUUACAGUUGUUGAUUACUUGAGCUUAGUUAGUUCUCUUUUUGUUAUUAAAAACUCUUCAAGUAAUUAAUUACAGGUGACUUACUAUUGAAAGAACUAUAUUUUCUAUAGAAUAAUAAUAAGAUGAAAAACAUAGAAGAUAUUGGUAAUCUUCCUUCUUUCUUUUCUGCUUUUUCUCUUUCUUUCAAAUACUAUCUAUUUAUUUUGAUACCACAUUUUGAUGUCAAAUUGCAAACCAACAUGGGGAUACAAACGAUAGUGGCUUGAGGUCUACCGAUUGCUCACCACAUUUGGUAAGAGUAGUUGAUUUCAAAUCAAACAGUCAGAUCCCAUUAUGGAAGAAUAAUCUGACUCGGCGGUGAAUUUCAUUAUUUAAUAAAUAUUCAAAUCUUAUUUAAAGACAUCUAAAAAUUUUAAAAAACUCUCUCCACUUAGGAAAAAAACAAUAAAUAAAUAAAUAAACAUAAACUUGAACACACUGAUUUUCAGGUAAUAUAACUGCACUGACUAGGAGCUUUUUGUAUCCCAGAAAAUAUACUUUUCAUGAACGAAUCUAGAUGCACUGACUAGUUACAAUUUUUGUCCAACUUCAUCCACAAAAGCCUUGAGAUUAUUGUCCGACAUUCCACCAUUCUUCAUAGCUUCCCUCGCCAACUCCUUCCAUUUCUCAGCAUUCCUUCUCAAUCCUUCUGCUCUUUCUCCAUCUCCCAUAACAAUUUCCAAGCACAUCUUUAUCUCAUCACGUUCAACCAUUCCUUCUUCAUUCACCCACACCCGAAUGCCAGUUUUCCACAUGUCCGUGAUCAGCUUUGCGUUGGUGGCUUGAUCCGUCCCUUGGGGAAAUGCCACAACCGGAACCCCACAAACCAUGCUCUCCAAGGUUGAAUUCCACCCACAGUGCGUCACAAAACAUCCCAAUGAUGGAUGGGUCAAAACCUCCAAUUGGGAACACCAAGGUACUAUCAUCCCUCUCUGUUCCAAUUCUUCUCUGCAACCCAGCAUUUCUUCAUCUUUCAUUUCUCCCUUAUCGGGUUCUCUUAUGACCCACAAAAAAGGUCGGUCACUAUUUAGCAGACCACAGGCAAUCUCCUCCAUUUGCGGCUUUGACAAAAUAGCUAAGCUCCCAAAGGAUAUGUAAAUGACUGAUGAUUUGGGCUUGGAGUUCAACCAUUCUAUGUAGUCAGUGGAACCUUGAAAUUGGUCACCUCCGAAAGAAAUAUCAGUUGGAUCUUUUGCAUCCAAGAAAGCAGAUGGGAUCAAGGGGCCAAUUCCAAUCAAUUUAAGCUUGUCCAAGGCCCGCAAAGCCUUGGGCUCUAAUGCAUCAAAGGUGUUUAGCAGUACUUUAGGGUUUUCAUCUUGGCUAAGUGCUUCGAAAUUCUUUUGAAACGAUUCGAGAACAAAAGUCAAUUUAUUUGAAGACAGUAGAAAAGAGGGAAGGUCUCGGCUAGUGAACAGUGGCUCCAGUCCUGGAAGCUCAAUGGACGAUGAGGGAUCAAUGCUUUUAUUUCUAACUUCAUCUCCAUAACCAUUGAAGUAAUAGUAGUAGAUGUCAAACACUGUGGUCGCUUGAUUCCAGAAAUAAGCAGAUAAGACCUGAACCCUACGUGCCACCUCUUGCGCCCAAUCAAAGAUCAUGGUGUACACUAUGCAAGCAACGGGCCGACCUUGGUCAGCACAUUCCAGCACGAGCUCAGUGAGCUUUAGCGUUCCUUGGCGCUUAAUCUCUGACAGAACGUGAUGUAAAUUGUCUUUGUUUUCACACCCAUCGUCGUAGCCAUCAGAGAAGGGGGCGAAGGAUAAUCCACAAACAGACAGCGGUUUGACCAUGCGGCGUUGGGCAUAGACGGUAGUGACAAAGGUGACCUGAGCACCGGUUUGUAUUAGCCGCUUGGCCAACCGGAGAGUUGGAUUGAUGUGGCCUUGCGCUGGAUAGCUGACAAGGAGGAAGUGAGGAGGAGCCAUGGCCGGGGCUAGUUUACAGGGAAGGGGUGAAAUGUGGAGAAUUGCUCAUGACUGGUAUUGUAAAGGGGUGUGAAACCUUAAAUAAAGGGCUGCAGUUUGCAGAAUGAAUAAUAUUGUAUUAAAUUACAUUUGAUAUUGAAAGGAAAAAAUGUGUUUUCAGAUUUUAUGGAUGGAAACAGUAUCUGACCGGAUUCUACUGAUUCAACCAUGAAUUUAUUUCCUUUUCCUUAGUUCAUCAAUUUCAAUUCGAAUAAUAAUUAUUAUUAUAUUUAUUUUUCAAGUCUUUAUUGUGAAUCAAAGGAGAGAGGUGUAUUUUUAUAUUUUACCGAAAGUAAAUUUCAGAAGAUGGAUGAAAAGCAUACAUAAAUAAAAUAAAUAAAUAAAUUGAAAAGGUAAAAUAGUUUAAAAUUUUAAAUUUUAAUUAUAAAAUGACUAAUUCUAAAAAAAUUAAUUAAAAAACUUAAGUAAAAAUUAAAACAUAUAAAAUUUAAAUUAACUCCUAAGUUACAUCACAAGGGAGCAAAAUAAAGAAUAAAAUCGGUUAUCAUUGAUAUUUCAGGGAUCCUCAAGCCUCAUCUUCUUCUUUUGUAGAUUGGACAAUUUAGUAGCUAGAAAUGUUACCUAUUAUAAAUUCUCAAUAAGUUACUGCAUUGCCAACAUCUUUAUAAUCAUAAUCUCACAAUUCAACCUUCUUUAGAAGUUAUUACAAUUUUAAGUCCUUGCACUUGGGGGCUUGACACUAUUGAGGCAAUAUAUCAUCCCCACCAUAGUGAGCAAUCAAUCGAUCUCAACUUUAAUCAAUGACAAAGAGAACCACCCCUUAUUAGGUUCAUCUUCUUUUUCCUCUUCUUCUACUUCUACAAGUUUUGGCUCCUCAUUCUCAACCUUGUUAUUGGUGUAUUUGGACUUGUGGCACACAUUUUCUAUUAACAACCUUUCAAACAACUAGAAAGGAGGAUACAAAGUCAUUAUAACAUUAUGUUUGUUGAACUUGAUGCUAUCUUAGAUGAUAACAUUUAUUAGCAAGGCCUUUGUGUUUUUGAGAAAAAUGAGUUUUCUAUUUCAUAUAACAAGAUGAAAGUGAUUAACACUACAAAAAACAUUAUUUUCACACUUAAAAACAUAGAUUUUAUUAUCACUUUUGAGUAUUAAUCAUAUCUUUUUUUACUUGAAUUCUUGUAAGUCGUAUUUUAGAGCUAACAUGGGUAUGCAACAAAAUAGAAUGAAAUGAGGCAUUUUAGGUGAAUUUCAAGUAAAGGUUAUUACAUGAGGUUGAUGGAGGCAAAGAAAAUCGCCAAAGAACUUCCUUAAAGUUCAAACAACUAGUGGAAGCAAGGGACCAAAUUAUGAACUUUUAUCGUGAGGAGGAAAGAAAAUGAACAAUUAAGUGAAGUGUAGAACAAUCACAUGUUCAAAGAAGGGCAAUAAAUCAUCCUGAUGUAAAUGUGUAAAAGAAAGAAGGAAAGCAAGGCCAAUAUGUAAGGACAAUCAUGAUCGCAAUUGCUGGUGCUACAAUAUGUCCUCUAAUCAUCUUGCUUUGUUGUGAAGAAAAUGGUCAAUCCACCCAUGGCUUUGUUAAGAAGUUAAAAUGAGAGAUCUAGAGUAUUCACUUGCCAAGUUCAAAAGAUUUUCCACAAUAAUAACCACCACUCAACAAUAAUAGCAACCUAACAAGAAUCAAGAAUGAUAAUCCAAGAACAUUUAAUAAAAAAAAGGGACAUCAAAUAUAACAUGGAAAAACCCUCCAAAUGGUGAUACAAUAGUUAAGUCCUCAUAGGUUUCUUCACUUUGAAAACUUAUACAAAUAUAUCUCAAUAUUUGAGGUGGGAAUCCAUCACCUUAGAAAACAAUGAACAAAAAGAGAUUAGGAAGAAAUUAUUCGUACCACAGGGAUUUCCCCAAAAGGUUGAUGAAAGAACUUGUAACUUCACCCUUGAGCCUUAGAAAAGUGCCCAAAAAACAAUCCUAUAUAUAUAUAUAUAUAUAUAUAUAUAUAUAUACAUUCCUUUUCUCAAUCACCCCUUCUCUCAUAAUACCAAAACUUUAAUGUUAUUUAUAUUUGCGCUUAAGGAAUACCCAAAUAUAAAAUAGUCUAAUAUAUGGGCUCAUGGGCUGGACAAACUUAGCCCAACAAUCUCCCCCUCCAACAUAUGAAGGAGGAAUGCGAAUCCAUAACCCCAUCACAUGGAGUUCAAACCUAUUAUGUCAAUGCAGAACUAAAGCUUUUGCUUUGGGACAACCUUUGUCAACAUAUUUGAGACAUUUUUGUUGGUGUGAAUCUUUAUCAACUUGACUUAUUUUCUUCAACUAUAUCCCUCAACCACUUGAAUACCUAUUUGUUUUUCAAUGAUUUUCUUCCUUUAGGAAGUUGUACCAACUCAUAUAAUUUUUAUGCAAGAAAUCCAUCUCAUCUUGCAUGGCUCUCAAACAAUUGCAACUAUUCUCAUAAGACUUAGCUUUCUGGAAACUCUAUUGCUCCUUCUCAUCAAUUAUUAACAUGUACUCAGAUGAAGAAUAUCUAGUAGAAGGACGAUGCUCUCUAGUAGACCUCUUAGCUUGGGGUACCAAAGCCUCCUGAUGAAGUGAUUGUUUCCCCUACUCCUCAUGCUCAACUGGCUCUUGUGUAGCUAUGUCAUUUGCACUAUCAUCUCUUGGUAGCUCAUCAAUUUCCUCCUCUUCAUUUUUGGGCUGCUCUAAUGAUGAAGGAAUAAGUACCAACUCAAUAAAGUCAUCACUUAUAGCUUUGGAUUGAUUAGUGUGGACCCUGUAUUUUGGCUCAUGCGUUUUCCACUCGAUAGAGAGCUCGAUUUUUAUUUGAAAAUGAUUUUAUUUAUUAAAAAAAAUUACUUGGAGUUGCCACUUAUUUUUGUUUUAGUUUUACAAGGGUAAACAAAAUAAGAAAGAAAACCCUAAGUGUGACUCCUUAUUUUGGAAAAUGUGGUCUAUGAAAAACCGGAUCAUGCUCGGGGGUCAGAUUACUUAUCGGGAAGGUACGAUAAAGACUGUAGCACCCCUCUAAGUCCCUAAAGUCGGGUCUCUACUAAUAAAAUGAAGCUGACGUGGCAAUCAAUAGGAAAAUCAAUGGAUACUCAAAUCGGUCAUACACAUAUGGGAAUCAAAACAUGCAUAGAGAAUGACUAGAAUGAGAGUGGAUGGGUACUUGGGCCACGAACGAGCAAUGCGCUAUCAUAAAAAUGGAGUCAGUGUACAAUAAAGAGCACAAAACAUAUCACAUGCAUCACCAAACAUAAAUUAAAACUGCUCGAGGGAAAAUUGGAUUUUUGAAAUUUAUUUGAAAAUUGGAGUCUUAGAGAUUAUUUGAAAAUUGGAGUUUUGGAGAUUAUUUGAAAAUUGGAUUUUUAGAAAUUAAAUGUAAGAAUGAGAAUUUUAGAAAUUAAAUUUGAAAGAAAUUGGAAUUUUGAAAAUUAUUUGAGAGUUUGGGAUUUUUUAAAAAUUAAAUUACGAAAUUAGGGCUUUUGGAAAUUAAAUUUUGAAAGAAAUCAGAAUUGAAAAUUAUUUUAGAAGUAGAAACUAUGAAAAUUGAAUUAUAAAAAUUGGAAAUCUUGGAAAUCAUUCGAAGGCAGAAUUUUUAGAAGUAAAUGAAUAAAAUGAUAAUAAUAAUGAUAAUAAUAAGUAAAUAAAUGCGAGAAUUAUAAUAUUGGAAAUUGAAAAUUAAGUUCGAAAAUUGGAAAAUUGGAAUUUCAUAAAACUAAAUUUGGAAAUCGAAAUUUUGAAGAAUUAUUUAAGGACAGAAUUUUAAAUAAAUGAAUAAGUGAAUAAAUAAAUGAAUGGAAUAAUAAUAAUGACGAAAUAAUAAUGAUUGGACGAAUAAUUACAGAAGUUAGGAUUUUGGAAAUUGGAAAUUGAACUUAGGGAUUGGAAAUUUAAAGAAUCAUUUAAGGAUGAAAUUUUAAAUAUAUGAAUAAGUGAAUAAAUAAAUGAAUGGGAUAAUAAUAACGAAAAUAAUCAUUAAACAACAUAAUGUGAAUAGUGGAAUUUUUUAUAUUGGAAAUUAAAUUUGGAAAACGGAAUUUUGAAAAAUUGAACUUUAAUGAUUGGAAUUUUUAAAAGAAAGAAAUAAAUAAAUAAAUAGAAUAAUAAUAAUAACAACGAAAGCAAUAUUUAAAUGAAUGAACGUGAAUAGUCGAAUUUUUGAAAUUUGAAAAAUUGUUUAAAGAGGGAAUUUUUAGAAUAAAUAAACAAAUAAAUAAAUGGAAUAAUAGUAAUAACGAGAAUAAUAAUGAUUAGAUAAAUAAUUUUAAAAAUUGGAAAGUUAAUUUAGAAAUUGGAAAAUUGAAGAAUUAUUUAGAGAUGGAAUGUCGGAAAAUUAAAUUUUGAAAGCUGGAAGCCCGAAAAAUUAUUUUAAGGCUGGAAUGUCGGAAAAUUAAAUUUUGAAAACCGAAAACCCAAAAAAAAUUAUUUAAGGAUGGAAUGUCGGAAAAUUAAAUUUCGAAAACUAGAAAUCCGAAAAAUUAUUUUAAGGAUGGAAUGUUGGAAAAUUAAAUUCCGAAAACUGGAAACCCGAAAAAUUAUUUUGAGGAUGGAAUGUCGGAAAAUUAAAUCUUGAAACUUUUGUUUUGAUAUCAAAAUGUGAAGAAAUAAUAAAAACAAAUAUGAAUUGUGGUGAUCUUCACGUGCACGUCUCCAGUAUAAUGGCCAUGAACCCAUUUUACAUAUUCUUUUCCACCACCUGAGCAAACAACUUUUGCAUGAAGAUUGAUGAGUGGGUGUGGAGGUUGGUAUGGCCAUGCAUGCGUGAGGAUUGUUGGACGGAUAUGAAGGUUGGUGUGGUCAUGCAUGCGUGAGGAUUUUAAGGAUGGAAUUAAAUUUUGAAAACUAAAAACCCAAAAAAUUAAUUUUAAGCAUGGAAUGUCGGAAAAUUAAAUUUCGAAAGCUGAAAACCCGAAAAAUUAUUUUAAGGAUAGAAUGUCAGAAAUAUAAAUCUCGAAAACUGGAAACCCGAAAAAUUAAUUUAAGGAUGGAAUGUCGGAAAAUUAAAUUUCGAAAACUGGAAACCUGAAAAAUUAUUUUGAGAAUGGAAUGUUGGAAAAUUGAAUCUUGAAAAUUUUGUUUUGAUAUCAAAAUGUGAUGAAAUAAUAAAAAGAAAUAUGGAUUGUGGUGAUCUUCAAGUGCACGUCUCUAGUGUAAUGGCCAUAAACCCAUUUUAUAUAUUCUUUUCCACCACCUGAGCAAACAGCUUUUGCAUGAAGAUUGAUGAGUGGGUAUUGAAAACUGAUGACAUGGACAAGGUAAUGGAGUCAGCCACUAGCAGGAAAUAAAUAAAAAAUAAAAAUCCUACAAACCCAUUUAAUUCGACAUCAAACCAGAAAGCAAAACCAUGCAGUGGAGCUCACAUCAACUGGAUCACUCUUUCUUAUCAAACUUCUUUCGAAUAUAUCUAGGAAUCCUCUUUGGAAUUCCCAUUACCUCAAAAGGAAACAGAAUUCUAGAUGAGUUGUGACCCUAGCAGUAACCAUAUCUGGCUAAAAAAAAAUCUCAGAAACCGUCCUUGGUCUUGGUCCAGAUGAUAUCUUCAAUUCCAAGAAACAAAACUCCCUCGGUUGGUCUGGAUUCCCUUAUAGGAACUUGGGAAGCAUUCCGACAACAUGGAGAUGACAGUUGUUCAGUUAUACCAUUAUUUGUCACCUUGCUUUUUUUAUUUUCAGCAAGCUUAACGUCUUUUCUAGUUCACUAACAUGUCUAGGAUGAUAUACUGGUAUUAGACAAUUCGAUAUAUCUGAAAUGACCUUCACAUUGUCCAGGUUCGAUGCAAUACUAAUUUCCUGUCUCAUAGCCAACCCAAGCAUGAUACCCAACAUUCCAAAAGUGCACGAAACGAGGAAGUGAAGAAAAACAGAGCAUAUACAAACGAAAAAGAUACUACUGAACUCGGCUCCAUUUCAUAAUGAUCAAUGGGCUGGAUACAGGUGGCAUAGGAAGGAAGCAAAAAAAAAAUAAAAUGAUUUUGAUACAUCAAGUUCAGAGGAAGAAACAAAGCAUCAAGCAUUGACAAGAAAGAUAGAAAAAAAAAACACCAGAAACAAAACUAAAACAGAGUAUGCAUACAAAGGAUAGAUCCCUCAAAGCAAACGAGUGGUCUAGUAGUCAUACCUGGAUGUUUUCCUCAAGCCAAAAGUUUCCUGGCCACCCGCUCUGCUCUCUUCCCUUCCUUUUUCUGCUCAGCCAAAGAACCCCUCUUUCAGAAAGAAUCCCCUCACCUCCAAAUCUCCCCUGUUUCCCGUCUUCCUUAGCAAGCCACUACCUGCUCUCAUGUGCACCAUUCCGCCAAUGCGUCAUCCUCACCCAGCACCAUGGGCGAGCCGUGCUCUUGGCCACCUGUCCAUGCAGCUUCUGAUAACCAAACAGAUUCUAACCUAACCUCCUCUCCCACAGUUGUAACUGAACAACCAUGUAACAACCCCAAACCAACUCAUCCAACCACCUCACCUAGCUUAUAAAUACCCACACCGGUGUACUCUGAAGAUAAUAAUACAAUUCUUCUUCUUUUUCCUUUUGUAUUUUCUGACCUGUGUAACCACUUCUAUCAUGGUAUCAGAGCCAGCUUUGUUUUCUUGAUUUUUUUUUCAAGAUGCCGUCAUCUACUCACUCUUCUGAUCUUCAUUUACCUUCUUCUUCAACCUCCAGCCCCGUUUCUUUAUCCCUCAACCAUGCCCUCCCAAUCAAACUUGAUCGUAACAACUACAUUCUCUGGAAAACCCAGAUGGAAAAUGUAGUUUACGCUAAUGGCUUUGAAGAAUAUAUCGAUGGCACUAAGCCAUGCCCGCCUCAAGAGCUCCAUACUGGCGAACUCAAUCCUGACUUUGUGCAAUGGAGACGUUUCGAUCGCAUGGUUCUUAGCUGGUUGUAUUCCACGUUAACACCAGAUAUUAUGGGCCAAAUCGUUGGGUUUCAGACCUCCCAUGAUGCUUGGAUGGCUCUACACAAAAUCUUUUCUGCCUCAUCCAAGGCUCGUAUUCUACAGCUUCGUCUUGAGUUUCAGACAACAAAGAAAGGGGCUGAUCCUAUGCUAGAAUACAUUCUCAAGAUUAAGACUAUUUCUGAUAAUCUUGCUGCCAUUGGGGAGCCUGUUAAGGAAACUGAUCAUAUCUUGCAACUUCUUGGAGGACUGGGUUCUGAAUACAACUCUAUUGUGGCCUCCUUAACAGCCCGUGAAGAUGAUCUUUCUCUUCACUCUGUCCACAGUAUUCUACUUACCCAUGAGCAACGCUUAAACCAUCAGCAUACCUCAUCUGCAGACCUGCCAUUUGCGGCUGCCCACAUAGCUGCUGCCCCUUCCACCCAACAUCCCAGACCUCAUCACCCCAGAUUCCAAUCUCCUCAACCCCGAUUCCAAUCUCAUUACUCAGGAAAUCACCAGCAUGUCCCAUUUUCUCAUACCAGACCCCAUAACAGACCUCAUAACAGACCUGCUAACAGAUCCUCCUCAUCUGCUCCUCACCUCCCUACUCGCCCUCAAUGCCAAUUGUGUGGUAAAUUUGGACAUACCGUUGUAAAAUGUUAUCACCGUUUUGACAUCACCUAUCAAGGAACCAGUGGUGUAUCUUCUUCACAAGACUCUUCUCCAUUACAAGCCAUGCUUGCUGCAGCACCAAAUCAUCAAGAUUCUUGGUUCUUUGACACUGGAGCUACCCACCAUCUCAGUCAUUCUGCUCAAACUCUCUCUAAUGUUCAACCGUACUCAGGUGCUGAUCAGGUCACCAUUGGUGAUGGUCAUUCCUUACCCAUCCUAAACACAGGUAAUAAAUCCUUUUUCUUUCAUUCCAAGGUCUUUUGCUUAAAUCAAGUUCUUCAUGUUCCUCAACUCUCCACUAACCUCAUCAGUGUUUCCAAAUUUUGCACUGAUAAUGCUGUCUUUUUUGAGUUUCAUUCAACCCAUUUCUUUGUCAAAGAUCAGGUCACCAAGCAGACACUUCUCAAGGGAUGGCUUAGGGAUGGUCUGUAUGAGUUUCCUUCUUCAUCAUCUACUCUUGCUUUUGUGUCUACCAGCUCCGUUUCUGCUCUCACUCCUGGUGCAAUUUGGCAUUCCAGACUUGGACACCCAGCAGCUCCUAUUCUUUCCAAGGCUUUAGCCUCUUGUAAUCCUUCUGUUUCAUUUCAGAUUAAUAAAAUUGCUCCAUGUAAAAUUUGUCCACUGGCUAAGUCUCAUUCUUUACCUUAUUCUUUGUCAUCUUCUCAUGCAUCCCAACCCUUAGCUCUUAUUCACACUGACUUAUGGGGUCCUGCUCCUUCUCCUUCCACAUCAGGUGCACGGUAUUUUCUUCUUUUCAUUGAUGAUUAUUCCAGGUAUACUUGGAUUUAUUUUCUCUCCACCAAGGACCAGGCCCUCUCCACUUUCAUUACCUUUAGAAAAAUGAUUGAAAACCAGUUAAAUUCCACCAUAAAAUGCAUUCAAUCUGAUAAUGGUGGGGAAUUCAUAGCAUUUAAACCUUACCUUGAAGCUCAUGGAAUUGUUCAUCAGUUUUCGUGUCCACAUACACCCCAACAAAAUGGUCGGGCAGAAAGGAAAAUCCGCCAUCUUGUGGAAAUAGGCAUGGCCCUUCUGGCUCAAAGCUUCCUACCUUCAAAGUAUUGGUCAUUUGCCUUUCAAACAUCAGUCUAUCUCAUCAAUCUCCUACCAGCUAAACUCCUCAAUUUUCAAUCUCCUCUACAAGUUCUUUUUCAUAAAAUUCCAAACUAUCAUCAUCUCAGAGUUUUCGGCUGCUUGUGUUUUCCCUCCUUAAGACCUUAUAAUCACCACAAACUCUCCUAUAGAUCUACUGCUUGUGUGUUUCUUGGCUAUGCCUCAGCUCACAAAGGUUACAUUUGUCUUGAUGUCUCCACUAAUCGUCUAUACAUAUCCAGAGAUGUUCUCUUUCAUGAAUCCUCUUUUCCAUUUCAGUCAAUACCUGCUCAUUCACCCUUACCACAGCACACUCCUCUCACGUCUGCCUUAAUAAAUCCACCCCUCUUAUCUACAUCUUCACCCUCAACUGUGUCAUUUCCUGUUCCUACUUCAAGUACCAAUUGCACCUCCACUUCAGAUUCUCUUCCACCACUACUUCAGGUCCCAUUUGCACCCACUCCUUCUCCUACACCUUCCUCUUCUCCUUCACCCCUCAACACCCACCCUAUGGUGACCAGGGCAAAAUCUGGAAUUCAUAAGAAAAAGAGUUUUCUCAUACAGACAACAAGUGAGCCUCACACUUACAGUCAGGCAUCUAAGAGUGAACCUUGGGUUCAGGCUAUGCAACAUGAAUAUCAAGCUCUUCUUUGCAACCACACUUGGAGUUUAGUUCCUCCUCCGCCCUCAGCACACAUUGUUGGUUGCCGUUGGAUAUACAAGUUAAAAUAUCUCCCUAAUGGCUCAGUAGAAAGGCAUAAAGCUAGGCUGGUUGCUCAAGGCUUCACCCAGACUCCGGGAGUGGAUUACUUUGACACCUUUAGUCCAGUUGUGAAGCCCUGCACCAUACGCCUCAUCCUUGCCUUGGCAGUUUCCUUUCAAUGGCCAAUUCGUCAAUUAGAUGUGGAGAAUGCCUUCCUUAAUGGGGACCUUCAAGAGGAGGUUUUUAUGGCUCAGCCUCAAGGGUUUGUCCACCCCCAAUAUCCUCACUAUGUUUGCAAAUUACACAAGGCUCUUUAUGGCCUGAAACAGGCCCCUAGAGCUUGGUUUCAAAAGCUUCGAGUUGCAUUGGUUGAUUAUGGCUUUCAGUCAUCUUGGGCAGACACUUCUCUCUUCACUCACCAUACCGCUUCUGAUAUUCUUAUUCUUCUUGUAUACGUGGAUGAUAUCUUGGUUACUGGUAGUAAUCCCAAGCUGGUUUCCCAUUUCAUUUCCUAUCUCCAUGAAAAAUUUGCCCUCAGAGAUCUUGGCCCUUUAUCAUAUUUUUUGGGCAUUCAGGCUCAACAACAGGGCUUGGUUUUGCAUCUCAAUCAACAAAAAUAUAUUGCUGACUUACUUCACCGCACUCAGAUGGAGGCUUCUAAACCAGCCCCUACACCCGGCAGCCUUGGACGCACAUUGUCUCAGUCUGAUGGUGUUCCUCUCCCAGAUCCCUCAGAAUAUCGUCGUAUAGUGGGAGCUUUACAGUAUGUCACUCUCACUCGGCCUGAUAUUGCUUUUGCCGUUAACAAAGCUUAUCAGUUCAUGGCCAAGCCCUCUGAUGUUCACUGGUUGGCUGUCAAACGCAUUCUUCGUUAUUUAAAGGGCACCAUCUCUCUUGGUCUUCAUUUUCAAACUUCAACUUCUACGGAGCUUCAGGGAUAUAGUGAUGCUGACUGGGCCUCCUGUCCAGAUGAUCGCCGAAGCACCAGUGGAUAUUGUGUCUUCCUCGGCUCAAAUCUCAUCUCAUGGUCCUCCUCCAAACAACGCUUAGUCUCCAAGAGCAGUGCUGAAUCUGAAUACCGAGGAUUAGUCUCUCUCACGGCUGAGCUAGUAUGGAUUCAGUCUCUUCUUCAGGAGCUUUGCUUGCCCACUUCUCCACCAGUCUUAUGGUGUGAUAAUCAAAGUGCAGCUCAUCUUGUUGCAAAUCCGGUCUUUCAUUCUCGUUCCAAACAUAUCGAAUUAGACUUGCACUUUAUCAGGGAAAAGGUGUUGCGACAAGAGCUUCAAAUCUGCUAUGUGCCGUCCACUGAUCAACUUGCUGAUAUUUUAACCAAACAUUUGCCUAUUUCCCAAUUUUGUAGCUUACGAAGCAAGCUCACAGUCACCUCCCCGCCUAUGAGCUUGAGGGGGGAUGAUAACCAAACAGAUUCUAACCUAACCUCCUCUCCCACAGUUGUAACUGAACAACCAUGUAACAACCCCAAACUAACUCAUCCAACCACCUCACCUAGCUUAUAAAUACCCACACCGGUGUACUCUGAAGAUAAUAAUACAAUUCUUCUUCUUCUUCCUUUUGUAUUUUCUGACCUGUGUAACCACUUCUAUCAGCUUCUUCAUGGCAGAAAAGGGGUCCCCCCUCAUCUCAAAAAAAAUGAAUGGAAAAUUCUCUCUCUCUCUCUCUCUCUCUCUCNNNNNNNNNNNNNNNNNNNNNNNNNNNNNNNNNNNNNNNNNNNNNNNNNNNNNNNNNNNNNNNNNNNNNNNNNNNNNNNNNNNNNNNNNNNNNNNNNNNNNNNNNNNNNNNNNNNNNNNNNNNNNNNNNNNNNNNNNNNNNNNNNNNNNNNNNNNNNNNNNNNNNNNNNNNNNNNNNNNNNNNNNNNNNNNNNNNNNNNNNNAUUAGGUUUGUCAAAAUCUCCUAAAGUUUGAUCUUUUUGAAUGACCACAUCUCUACUUCUUACCAAUUUCUUAUUGGUUAGAUCCAAAAUUUGACUCCAAAGUCCUCAUCAUCAUACCUAACAAAGACAUGUGGAACUGCCUUAUCAUCAAGUUUGGAUUUCUGUUAUUUGGAAACAUGGACAAAAGUUUUACACCUUAGACAACUUUGCAAUCUUCAACAUACACCAACCCUCUCAAUGAUGUGGAGUGAUUCAUCAUUUCAACCACACCAUUAUGUCAUGGAGUGCUUGAGAUUGUUUUCUCAUGUCUUAUACCAUUUGUAGUGCAAUAAACUUCAAACUCCCUUGAGUUGUACUCACCUCCAUUAUUAUACCUAAGACAUAUCAAUUUCCUUCCAUUCUCUUUCUCAAUCAUGGCAUGAAAUCGUAGAAAAUACUAAAAUACUUGAUCCUUUGAUCUGAGCAAAUAAAUCCAUACCUUCCUAGUAGCAUCAUCAAUAAAGGUGAUAAAAUGUUUAUUUCCUCCAAGAGUUUCCACAUCCAUGGGGCCACAAACAUUAGAGUGUACCAACUCCAACUUUUUUAACUUCUUAUAUCUACUAUUAAAGGAAACCUUAUGCUGUUUUCCAACCAAACAAUGAUCACAAGAAGACAAGGAUUCAUUUUUGGCCAAGGGAAUUAAGAAAUUCCUUGCCAAAACUUGCAAUCCUUUCUCACUCAUAUGUCCCAAACUUUUAUGCCACAACUCCAAGGAAGUACCCUUUAUAGCAUGUAACUCAUCAUUACAAACUUUCCCUUGAGUCUUGUACAAAUUAAGUGCAACAUGCUUCUUCUUUUGCAACAACCAAUGAGCCUUAGUGAGCUUCCACACUACAAGAAAAAAAGCUCUUCAUUGACAGUUUUUCAUCAUCAAGAUAAGGUAGAUCGGUAUUCACAUAUGUCAUCUAUGCCAGUGUCAAGAAAUGAUAAAAGCUAGCUUGACAUAUGCAUAUGUUAAGGUAGACCUUAUUUCUAUCAAUGUAGGUAUCUUAUUAAUAUGAUAUAUGUUAAUGUUUCUUCCACUUCAAUCAAGGUUAGGUUAAACAUAUGUGAAGGUUGACUCAUUGUUUUGUCAAGAUUAUAUUCAAUAUAUCUUAAGCUUAAGUAUGACAUAUGUCAAUGUUGUUUUAUAUGCUUUUAAAUUUAAUUUACACAUAUGUCAAGGAUUUUUUUUUUCAAAGUUGAAAUUUUAAUAUGUUAAGGUUCCUUUAUUCUUAUGUCAAGGAAUACAAUUUCUUUUAUGUCAAGAUUUCUUUAUUCAUAUAAAGGAAAUUGUUUUAUUUCAUAUCAAGGUUGCAUAUGGAACAUGUCAACAACCUAACCUGUUGCCCAAAUGAUGUACAUAAAAAUUGAACCUAUUGUGUGUGUGUGUAUAUAUAUAUAGAUAAAUAGAUAGAUAGAUAGAUAAACUACAUGGAUGUAUAAAAUAUAUUAAAAAAUAUAUAUAUGAACAUGUAGGCAAAUAUAUUGACAAAAAAAAACUUAAUAUCCUUGCAUAAUCUUGUAUUAUCAUCACAUACAUCCAAAAAAACGCAAAUAUGUACCCAAAAAUCCAAUAGUUAUACAUGAUAAAUAUAAUGUAUGCAUGAUCUUGUGCCUUCAAAAGUGCUGUAAUUGCUGCAAAUGCCACCUAACCUUCUGCAACUAGGAAAAAACAUCAGUAUAUGUUUAUAUUUGAAAGAUUAAUAAAAUGAUAUAAACACGUAUCCAAAUGUAUUCCCAAACAACCUAACAACUAUAUAUAAUCUUGUUAUCUUAUCAAAAAUAUAUGAAAAAAGGAUAGAUAUUUACCCAAAAAUAACCAAAUAUCAAGUAAUUGUACAUGAUAACAAAAAUUUAUGUGUGAUAUUCUCCUCUAAAAACUGCAACUACUGCAAAUGUCACCUAACCUUUGGCAAGAAAGAAAAAAGUAACAUUAUUUUAUGUUUAUGUUUGAAAGUUCAUUAAAAAGAUAUAAAUAUUUAUCCUAAAUAUAUCAAAAUGUAUCCAUAAACAACUUAGCAAGUAUGCAUGAUCUUAUACUAUUAUCAAAUAUACAUAUAUAUAUAAGAUAUUUAUUAAAAAAGAACCAAAAUUAAAUAAUUAUGCAUGAUAACAAGAACUUAUACAUGAUCUUGUACUCAUAUCAAAUAUAUAUAUAUAAAUGACAGAUAUUUACCAAAAAAUCCAAUAGCUAUACAUGAUGACAAAAACUUAUGCAUGAUCUUGUACUCUAAAAAUUGUAAAUGUUGCAAAUAUCACCCAACCUCUUGCAAAUAAGAAAAAAAACAACAUUAGUUUAUGUUUAUAUUUAAAAGUACUAAUUAAAAAGAUAUAAACAUGUACCAAAACACAAAAAAAAAAAAAAACAAAAAAAUCUAGCAAUGAACUUUUAGGGAAAAAAUAUAGAUAAGAUAUGUACCUAAAAAUAUCCAAUAAAAGAAAAAACUAAUGGGAGAAUUGGGCUUUACACCCAUUUGGCUUUGAUAAUUAAUAAAAGGUCCUUCAAAUACUCAUAAUUGAUUAUAAGGAUAUGAUAUAAGAAUAGACAAAAAUACCCUUUUGACUUACACCCAUCAUUUUUGUUUUUAUACCACCACUCUUUAUAUGUCACUUCCAUAAAAUUCUUCAUUAUUUAAUCUUUUUUUAUUUUUUUAAAACUCUUUUAAAAAUAAUUGAAAAAUCAACUUUAUUUUCUAAACAAAAAUUAUAUUAAUGAUUCAAAAACUAUUUUGGAAAAACUUUUGAAAAAAAAAACUAUUAAUUUAAAUGAAUAAAAAUUAUCUUUUACAUUUUAGAAGUAAAUAAUUUAAUGAUUAAAACACUAUUUAAAAUAAAUGUAUUUACUAUUUUUUUCUUCUAUACUAAAAAAGUAUUUUAAAGUUUAUUUUUUUACUAUUAUAAAAUAUAAAAAAUUAAUUUUUUUAAUCUUCUUCCUUCUUUUUUUUAAUAAUUUUUUGAAUAUAGACUUUUGGUAAUAAGUUAUAUGAAAUGUUGCAAAUUUGUUUAUUAAGGAAUUUUCUUAAUAAUUUGACUUAAUUGAAAAAAAAAAUAAAAGAGAUGGAUGAAGAGUUUUUAUUUUAAAUAUCCAAUUAAAAUUUUUCGUAUUUAAAAAUGGAUUAUAUUAAUACAUAGUAUAAUAGAGAUCGAAUUUUUCUCAUAUAAAAGGGUUGAAUGGUAUAUUUACCCAUUUUAAAUGAAAACGGUAGUUAAAAAUUGUAUAGAUUAUAUUUGAGUUUGGUUUUAAAAUAUUUUUUUUAGUUUUUACUUCUUUUAUUUUUAAAAAUAAUUUUUGUUUUCUAUAUUGUCUCUUUUUAAAAAUAUGUUUAAUUAGAAAAAAAUUAUUUUUAAAAAUGAAAAUUGAAUACCUUGUUUAAUACAAUUUUUUUGUAUGAAAAUAAUAAAAAGAAUUAAAUUUUAUUUAUUGAUUAUCUUUAUAUUUUUUCUAUUAGUUAUUUUAAUAAUAAAAUAAAAGAUAUAAUAUGUUCACAAUUAAAUAAAUGAAUCGGUUAAUUGUAUAUUUUUUUCACAAAAAUAUAAUAUGUUCACAAAAAAAAAAAAUUUGGAUUUAAGUUUUCCACUUUUUUUCUUAAUCAAACUACUGAAAUUAUAUUUAAUUUGUAUCAUUGUACAAAGGUAUUCACUAAUUGCACAAGGGAAAUGUACUAAAUGUACAAGGGGUGUAAAAGAUUACUAUUUGUAAAAGAUUUUAAUCAAUUCUAAACCACUUAUUUAUCUUCCUCGUCGCCCAUGAAUUGCAUGUCCAUAUCAUGCACUUUAUUUAACUGUCAUAUAGAAAUUCCGAUACUUUCCCCAGUAAUGAUGUUUGAGGAAAAAAAUUUAACCCUAAUUCAUCUACCAUUUUCUUAGCUAAACCAUUAAAAAUAUGGUUAACACACGUACGUGGAUACAUUACUUAGAAGGAAUAUAUUGCAUUAUUGUACAAUGGUAUUACACUAACUGUACAAGGGAAAUAUAUUAAGUGUACAAGGGUGUACAAGGCUAUCAUUUGUGAAAGAUUUUAAUCAAUUCUAAAUCACUUCUUUAUUUUCCUUGUCACUCAUAGAUUACAUACCCAUGUCAUGCACUUUAUUUAACUCCCACAUGGAAAUUCUGAUACUUUCCCUAGUAAUAAUAUUUGAGGAAAAAAAAAAUUAACCCUAAUUCAUCCACCAUUUUCUCAGUCAAACCAUUAGAAAUAUGGUUAACAUACCUACAUGGACAUAUAACUUAAGAGGGAUAUAUUGCAUUAUUGUACAAUUGUGUUACACUAACUGUACAAAAGAAAUGUUCAAAGUGUACAAGGUUACCAUUUGUGAAAAAAUUUAAUCGAUUUUGAAUCACUUCUUUAUUUUUCUUUUCAUCCACGAAUUGUAUAUGAAAUUUGUACUACUGUACAAGUGUGUUAUACUCACUAUACAAAGCAAAUGUACUAACUGUAUAAGACAAAAAUACUAACUAUACAAGGGGUGUACAAGGCUACCUUCUAUGCAAGAUUUCAAUCAACUCUAAACCUUUUUUUUUUCUUGUCACUUAAGGAUUAGACACUUUCCCCCCACACAUUGCUUCACCUAAAAAUUGUUACAAUUUGAAUUUUUAAAUUUCAUCAUCCAAAAUUUGUAAUUGCAUAUUUUGUUUGAGUAGUUUUAACAAUUUUUUUAGUACAUUUACAUCUCAUAUAAAGGAAAAUUAAUCACAAUAUUUAGGUACUACCUUUUUUGUGAAAUCAGGCAUGAGGAAAAAAAAGAAAAAAAAAAGAAAAUUAUGAUACAUUUGCUUGACUUGAUGACAUCGUGUUUUAAUAAUUUAAACCAUGUCAAGUUCACAUUUAUUCCAUAUUUAAAAGGGUAUUUUAAUACUUUUCAAAUUAUUAAAUUAUAAUACAUUAUUCAAUUAAAAAUUAAUUAUCACCAUUAGUUAAAAGAUGGCCAUGUUACAAAAGAAUAUAUUAAGACAAUAUCUAUGUAUUAUUCAUAAAAUAGAGAAAAUAUUCAAAUAAUUGUCUAUAACCUUAAAGAUAUUUAUAUAAAAAAUAACUCAUAUAUAUAUAUAUAUAUUAGAUAAAAAAGAAUAAUACUAUUUUUUAAGGUGUUUAAAAAAUAUUUAUUAUAUAUUUUGUAAGUUUGAAAAAAAAUUAUGAGGGUUAAAAAAUAUUUACUUAAAAAAUGUAGUAAUAAUCAUUUUUAACCAUUGAUUUCCAAUAAUUUUUUUGAGAGAAAAAUAAUUGGUGGAAAUAGUGACACUUCCUUAAUUAGGAAUUAAUUUACAUGGUCCCACCAAUUACAUGGUCUCAAAAUUGCAAUAGCAGCAAAUGUCACCCUAUACCUUGCAAAGAGAAAAGAUGCAACAUUAAUUAAAAUUUAUGUUUGAGAUUUUAUAAUCUUGCUUAUCCAAGGCCAAACCUAACAUCAAAUUAAGGCAUAAAUCUGGAACAUGCCUUAUAUAUUUCAAUGUCAACUUACACUUCAUAUUGGUUGCAAAGAAAACAUCACAUAUCCCUACAAUCUUGGAGUGACUAGGGUUUCCCAUCAUAACUGUGCCAAAUUUUCUAACUCUGUAAUAAGAAAACAACUCCAAGUGAGGAGUAGCAGGGUAGGAGGUUGUAGUGUUUACAAUCCACUCAACUCUUUGCUCAUCUAUAUGCAAACACUCAUUUGAGAGCACUAAAACUUAAUCACUAUUGGAUAUAGAGGCUAUGAUAUUCUUGUUAUCUUAUUUUUCCUGAUUUUGUCUAUUCUGUUCUAUUUUCCAAAUUCGAAAGUUCUUUUUCAUAUGCUCAUCUUUUCCAUGAUGGAAACAUUUUAUUUUAUCUCUGGACUAAGACUUCCCCUCAAACUUGUCAUGACCUUUCUAUCCUCAAUUCCUAGUUCUUCCUCUACUUUCUAUGAUGAGGACUUGUGCAUUUUCUGGGUCUUAAGCCUUCCUUCUUGUUUUUUCAUUGAACAAAUUUCCCUUCACAAGCUCCAUAGAUAAUACAUCAUUCGAAAUAGAGUUACUAAUAGUCACAAAAAAGGUUUCUCAACUGUCUGGUAGUGAACACAAUAACAAAGAAGCUUGUAUAUCAUCAUCCAUAACCAUUUUCAUAGCAACCAACUGAUUUGCAAUACUCUAAAAAACAUUCAAAUGAUCUAUCAUUAGUGGUCAUUCCUUUAACUUCAUGUUCACUAACUUCUUUAACAAGAAAAUGUUAUUCCUAACAAUUUUUUGUUCAAACAUUGAUUCCAAUUUCUUCUAGAGAUUAUAGGCAUUUGUUUUAUUUGCCACGUAAUGACGUGAGGUUGUAUCAAUCCAUUGCCUAAUGUAGGCAAUUGCUUUUUUGUUCAUCUUAUUCCACUCUAAAUCAGAAAUAUCUUUAGGCUUAACUUCUUCACCCUCAAGAGUAUCUGGCAAAUCUUUGAUGGUGAGAAAAUCUACCAUCAUGGACUUCCCAUAGCCCAAUUUGAAUUAUUAAGUUUUACCAUGGAUACUAAGUUCCCUUCUAUUUCCAUCCCUUUCAAAAAUAAAAGUUCCUACAACUAGACUUUGAUACCACUUGUUGGGAAGUUAAAGGAAGAGAUAGAGUAUUCACCUGCCAAGGUUAAGAGAUUCCUCCACAAUGAUAACCAUCACCCAACAAUAAUAACAACUUAACAAAAAUCAAGAAUGAUAAUCCAAUAACUUUCAACCAAAAAGAAGGGACACCGAAUAUAAUAUGAAAAAAAUCAUGGAGAAAUUUCUUUUAAUUACCAUGACAUAAAUUUCAUCUUUAAAACUCUUUUUUUUUUUUUUUUGCAUGAUUGUAACUUCAUCCCUAAAAGAAUAUUUUUUUUAUCCAUGACUAUAAACCUCAUCCUUAAAAGUUUUUUUUCUAUAAAUAAAAAAUUCAUGUAAAAAUGUUAUAAAAAUUAUUUGCCAUGAAUACAUGAUGGGAUGAAAUGUAAUCUUUUUGUCAUGAACCCAACCUUCAUCAUUGAGAAGACCUUUAUUUUCCAAGAAUAUAAACUUCAUCGCUCAAAAAUAAUUAUUGUGACUAUAAACUUCAUCCCAGGUACAAGUGUAAUAGGAGCAUCCAUUGACAAAAGGUUUACCUUAAGAUGACCAUCUCACGGCUAUUGAGAACGAAUCAACCCUAUUUCUAUGUAAAAAAAUUUUGAUUGCAGAAACUUCUUUUUGUGCCUUAAAAUUGCAUUCAUGAUUAAAAUUAUAUGAGAAGUUUGUUGUAGUAUAAGGACAAUAUUUUUUGUGGAGGAAGAGUUUUUUUUGUUCCUUUUUUCGAUGAGAUGUUACAUGUUAAAAAGAAGAAAGAUGAAUUAUGUACAAACUAACACCAACCAACUCCAUACAAACCAACAAGGAAUAACAGAGCUAGAAAUAUUUGAGGAAAUAUUAUUUGUUUAGGGAUGGAGAAAUAUUUUCAUUUCAGAAAGGUAGAAUAGUUGUUUUGGAUUUUUGGAAUUAUUUACAGAUUAUCAAUCGAUUGUUUAUGGAGGAUCUGAGCUGUGACCUGGUGUCGAUCUGAUUGGAUUAUGUCAUUUUUCAUUCUAUGUUGGAAAAUGACAUUCUAUACUUGUUUUUCAUUUUAGAUUGCUUGAUUGAACUGGUUCCUCUCUAAAAUUCAAAAAAUACAACACCAUAUAAUUUAUUAUAUUAUUUAUUUGAAAUACAAAAACAGAUUGAUAAAUUACACCAAUUAACCUUUAAAUACAAAGCAAAGAAUAAUUUAUUUGUACCCUAUGUUAUAAGCAUCAAGCCCAUAAUGGAGAGGAAACAACAAAAGAAUAUUCAUGGCUCACCCUUAAUUAUACAAACUCCACCCAAACAGUUCUAGAGAUUAAACCUUGAGUGCUUACACUCAGGAGGGACACCUUGAGGGAAGCGUUUGAGAUCAGUGCAGUAGUUGUAAAUCAUGAAGUUCUUCUGAACCCAUCUCAGCCUUCUUCUGCUGUAGGCAUCAAGUUCCUGGGUCUGGAAGGCACUGUCAGAGAAUGUGCUUGUGGAGGUGGAAGUGCUGGCUCUGAAGUUCCUGUAGUAUGCUGUGAAGGGUGCCUUGGACCAGUCAGUUUUCACCAACCCUCCUCUUGUGGCCCAGUCAUCCGCAUUCCAGAGGCUUGAGUAUAUCCUCAUUGGCUGGUUCUUUGGGAAGGGAACCCCCAUUGAUUCUGCAUUCUUGAAUAGCCUUAUGGGAACGUUGUCCACCAAGAAACUGAUGAAAAAACCAACACCCAGUUCAGUUUUAGUUUAUAGAAAAAUAAUGGAAGUAGCGUUGGAAUGUAGGGUUACGUACAUGAUGUGUUGGGCGCUCCAGGCGAUGGAGUAGGUGUGGAAGUUACGGGUGGGGUCGAACCAAAGGUAGAAUUGUUGCUCCCUGUUGCCCUUCCCUUGAGUGAAUACAUUGGUGUGGAGGAUAUAAGGAUCUCCACUUAGGUUUCCCAAGAACUCGAAGUCGAUCUCAUCAUGGGUUGGCCCUUGAGAAGACAACUGCAUCACAAAUAUAACCUCAAUUUCCAAUUUCAUCCUACGAUUUCACGUGCCCAAAAAUAUACAUAGCAGGUAUCAAGUUAUGUUCCUUAAAGAAGUUUGGAGAGAGAGUUGAUGAAACAGGACUUGUUGGUUGAUAAUAAAAACGACAACUGUUUUCUAUUUUUAAAACUAAAUACUGUUUUUGACACACUUUAAUAUUUCAAAACAAACAAAAUAAUACCUUCUAUAAUAAUUACUCUAUACCCUGAGGGGACAAAACUACUCCCGAGUUCCCAAAAGGAAAAAGAAAGAAAACGGUCACCCACCCACCAUUUUAAAGGAGGUCACGAGAACAAGUAUGUUGAGAAAUCUUAUCUUUUACGCAAACAUAUAUUCAAGCAACUUUCAUCUUUUGUGAACAUGAGAAAAGCACUAUCAUCCCUAACAAAAUAGAGUUUUGUAAUGAUAUCGAAGUAGAAGAGGAAUGAAGUUUGAGAAUGAUGACAUACGUAGUAGGCAGUGACAGUGCCAGCGGAGUUACCAGCAACAAGCUUGAGUUGCAUAUCAAUCCUCCCAAACAAAUACUCCUUCUUGGACUGAAACCCAGACCCAGAUGUCUUGUCCAGAGAGAGAGACAGAAGCUGUCCUCCAUUGAAGAUCUUAGCACGAUGAUCGCCCCAUGUUAUGUCAAAGUCUUGAUAGAAGUUACUAGCAGAGGCAGUAGCCAGAACCAUUGCAAAAACCAAGCCAAAAAAUGAAUACCCAUUUGAAGAAGACCCCAUUUUGAGAAGAGAAUAGUGGGUUUUGUAGAGUAUUGGAUGUGAGGUUUAGAGGAAGAGAGGGAUUGGUAUAUAUAGGGUUGAGAGAGAGAGCGUAUGAUGUGGGAGACGCGUGAGUGACCAACAACUGGAGACAGCUGAGCAAAGUAGCAGAAGCUGGAAGGCAUUGGUGUUAUCUGAGGGGAGUUGGGUGGUUUUAGGCAUCGGGUUGUUUGUGGGAGAGAGUUUUUAAAGAAUGAUUGGGAUUCUCUCUGUGUAGGGUCCUCAAGCCAUGAUUUCGACAGCUGGUCGAUAACAACUUCUUUUAUGCGUAGGUUCGGCUCACCGCCAUCCCCCCUCUUUCCUUCUCCUUUCUAUUUUUCAUAUAUAUUUAAUUUUCAUAUACAUCUUAUCAUUCUUCAGAAUAUUGAAAACUCUUACUUUUGUGGGCUCAAGAUUUUAAUUCCAAAGUCAUUAUACUUGGUAAUAGAUACUAAUAGGUUUUAAUAUAUCCAAAUAAAUAAAUAAUAUAAAUAAAAACUCAUUUAUUUUAAAUUAUAUUUAAUUUAUAAAAUAUUAGAUAGUUUUAGAAGCAAAUGAUAUAUAACAUUUAUUUAAAAUUUAAUUCACUAAGAUAGGAAAUAAAAAAUUUGUUUCAAAAUCAUAUUAAGAAAUAAUAUCCAAAUAUUUUUAUAGUUGUGAAUGAGUUUUUAUUUUUCAUUUUUUUAAUAUAUGAAGCAAGACAUAUUUUUCCCAUUUAGUUUUAGAAAGCAGUAAAAAAAAAAAAGUAUUGAGAAAAAUAGUUUUUCAUAUUUGGUUUUACCAUGAAAAAAAAAAUCAUAUAUAAUUAAAAUUUAUAUAUUUUAAAAUUAUUUAAUAUUUAUAUAAUAAAGAGAAAUAACUAAAAUAAAUUUUAAAAAUCAUAUAAAAAUAAUUUAUUAAGUUUAAACCUUUUUUUUUUUCACUUUUUUUUUUCUGCAUUUCAUUUCUAUUUUCUUUUCCUUAUAUUUUUCAUCAAUUUUUUUGGGAACUAAACAAAGGCUUAAUUUUUUUUCUUUCUCAAGCUACAAUACCAUCAUCUCAUUAAGCUAAGUAAAAUGUGUUAGAGAUAUAAACAUUACAAAUUGAACCAUUGUUUAAGCUAUGUUUGAUUCUCGAAAAUUUUAAGAGAAAAUGAAAGGAAAAGAAAAUAUAAAGAAAAAGUAGAAAGAAAAUAAAAAAUAAAUUAAAAGUUGAUAAAUUAUUUUUUAUUUAUUAUUUCAAACUCAUAUUACUUAUUUUAACUCAUCAAUAUAAAGAUUAAAUAAUUUAAAAAUAUAUAAGUUUUUAACUAAUUUUAAUUAUAUUUUAUUUUAUUUUUUUAUAUUUUUCAUAAACAACCAAACAUGAUAAAAUAAUUUUUCUUUACAUUUAUUUUCUUACCUUAGUAAUUUUCGAGAACCAAACAUAAGCUUAAUAUUUUAAGCUUUUAAAAUGGAUGUAUAAACUAAUGGCCAUAUUUGAUUAUCACAUGGUACUAAGGAAAAAAAAAAUAUGAAGAAAAAUGACUCUCUUGGGUUUGAUUUUACUAUAAAAAAAUAUGAAAGGAAGUCAAAUAUAAUUAAAAUUAUUAAGAAAUUUAUAUAUUUUAAAAUUAUUUAAUCUUUAUUUUAAAAACUUAAAUAAGUAAAAAAAAUUUAAAGUGGUACAUAAAAAUAAUUCAUUAAUUUUAAAUUUAUUUUUUAUUUUUUUCCUUUUUCUUUCAUUCUAAUUUUCUUCUUUUUCAAACUUUCCAAUAACUAAACAUGAAGAAAAUGUUUUACUAAACCACUAAACAAAAAAUAAUAAAUUUAAAAAUAAAGUGGUGUAAAGUAUUAAUAUGAUAAUAAUUAGUUAAUAAUAACUGAAAAAAAAAUUCUUUGAUAUUUUACCGUUUGAAUGUAAAAUUGAAAAAAUAAAAUAAAAUAAAUUCAAAAUGUAUGAUUAUGGCAUUGGAAACAUGUGAAGGCAGAAGAUAAAUUCCAUGUCGCUUUCAGAUGUAGUAAAUAGGAUCACGGGACACGACAUUGUUAUGUGGGUCGAAUGAAUGACUUGUCAAUUCCAAUGGCCGUGGGAUAUGUUUCUCAAUUGCUUUUCCCUUACUCCAAAAUGUAAGAAAAAGAAAAUAGGAAGGAAGAAUACGAAGGAAAAAAAUUGAAGAAAAAUAAAAAUUAAAUUUUAAAUUAAUAGAUUAUUUUAAUUUUUUUUAUUUGUUUAAUUCUUUUAUAUAAAUAAAUAAAUAAUUUAAAAAUAUAUAAAUUUUUUAAUAUUUUUAAUUAUAUUUGAUUUUUUAUAAUAAAAACAAAUAUGAAAAUAUAUAUAUAUAUUUUCUGGAACCAAUCGUACCCUCAUGUUUUUUAAUUCUCUAAUUCUUUGUUUCCUUUUUAUAUUCCAUAUUUCUCUUUUUUAUUAACUUGAUAUUUGAAUUAAAGUCUUAUUUCAUGAGGAUAAAAUUGUUAAAAAGGUUUCUAAUUACUCUUUAAGGUAUAUUAAGGGUGUGUUUGGCUGUGGGAAUGUGAAAAAAUAGUAAAAAAUUCAUUUGAACUUUCUAUUAUUCUAUAAUUUUUUUUAAAUAUAUAUAUAUAUUUAAACAUAUUUUCAAAAUUUUCACUUUAGUUAGAGUAUUUUCUUGUGUUUCACAAUUAAAAAUUGAGAUUUAUUUUUAUUUUUUCUUUUUUCUAUUAUUUGGAUUAAAAAGAAUUAUAAAUAUUUAUUAUAGUCAUUUAACUUAUAUAAUACAUUAAAAUUUUUAAACAGAUAGUCCAAAAAAUAAGUCAAAUUAAUUCCAAAAAAAAGUCACUAACGUAAGGUUCAAAAAUAAUUUGAUCUUUAAUUCUUAAGUAAAGAUCCAUUAAAUAAUAGUUAGAUAUAGAUGGAUGGAUAGAUUUAAGGUGGUAACAAUACGGGAUUGGCUUGCCUCCACAACUGUAACAGAACAAUGUUCUUCCCUUGGAUUAGCUAACUACUAUAGACGGUUUAUUAAGGGAUCGAUACUCUAAUAUGGCUAUCCCUCUCAUUGACUUGAAGAAGGGGAGGGAAUGGAGGUGGGCACUGGAGUCUCAGACUAUCUUCCAAAGGUUAUAACCUCAAAGCCAGGGUUGAGACUACCAGACCUUAUGCUUUUACUCCUCCCUUUUGUUUAUAAAGGCAUCAUUUCAUUGCAAAGCUUGGAGAUUGUGAGAUUUAGAUGAGUUAAUUUCACUCAAAAUUGAAUUUUAUAAUUUUAAAAUAAAUUAUAUUAAUGUUUUUGUUUUUUUUUUGUUUUUUUUUUUAAAAAAAAAACCAUUGCAAUUACAAAAGCAACCAUUGUGUAUUUCUUUUGUUUGGGAUCGAUUUUUUUUUUUUCCUCAAAAUUUGCCUCUUCUUAAUUAUCAAUUUAGUUUUGAUAUUUUUCUCAAAAGCAAAUUUGAAUUGAAUAUAUAAUUGAUGGGUGGCGGUGGAAAAGGGUUAUUUCCAACUAGCUGUCAUGUACAUUGAAAGAAAAAGCUAUGGGCCAAAACGAUGUUGACCAAAACAGGGUCUCUACAUUCAUUGGGUGGAGAUGAGUUUGGAUUCACAAAGCAUUAAAUUUAUAGUGUAAUUUCCACCAUCAAGGGUCCUUCCUUUUUUUUUUUCCUAAUAAAAUUGAAAAAAAAAAAAAAGGAAAAAAAGGCAACUAAUGAGAGAAUUUAGAAAAAAAAAAAAAACCAUUUAAAGUACAGCCAACAUUUUUGUUUACGCGUAGAAAUAAGAUUGGAAAUGUUGAUAUGGAGACAAGGAUGAGGUAGUUGCCAUGAAACAUUAAAAAACAAAGGCAUUGGUAGUAGGAAAAAGGCCAGGAAUAAUCAAUGGGUAUGCUAUUAUUGAAGAGUGUUUGUUAAGGAUUCCUUCUAAUUUGGAUUACUUCCAUUUCACAUAUAGAUGGGUCUUCCUUUCCAAAUUUUCCAUUUUUAAGUGCUUAUUUAUCACAUGCAACCAUUUUCUUUAUAGAUAAAAAUAAAAGUAUUAAGUGUUACAAACUUUUAUAUUAUGUAUAUGACAUUAAGAGGGUAUUCGUUUUUUUUAAUUUUUUGUUGAAAAUAAUUUACUUUUGAUUAUUUUUCUUUCUUUUUCUUUUUUUUCUUAAGAUUUAUUAUAAAUUUUUGAAUGAAUAAAAGACAAAAAUAUUUAGUUUUUUUAAAAUAAAAAAAUAAUAUGUUGAUUUUUUUUAACGCUUAAUAGAAAUAAAAUAUUAAAAAAAGAAUAAUGUAAUAUUUAACACUAUUAAACAAUGUUUAAUUUGAAGUUCUAUUUAGAAUUAAGUAAAAAAGAAACAAACAAACACCACAUAAUUAUUUAAAGUAGUUGAUAUAAUUGCUUAUUUGAUUUGAUUGAUGAUAAAAAUUUAUUUUCUAUUUCAUAAUAGAAAUAUUUUACUGUGACAUUUUAAAAAUAAAUAAAUUAUUUUAUAAAAUUAAUAACAAUUGUUUUUUUCUUUUUUUCAUAUGUUAGGCAAAAGAAAUGCCUUCAUACAAUUGAUUGAGAAGUGAUUCAGCCUUACUCAGUGCUAUAUAGGAUCUAUUUUUGUUAAAAUAAUGUAGAAGUCUAGGUUUUUUUUUUAUAGAUAUAUUUUAAAAUUAUAGACAUUUAAUUAAUUAUAAACCUAGAAAAGCAUUUUAGAGAGGAUGUAAAGAGAAAGUAACACUAAUUAAUGACAUGAUUAAUCCAUACCACCACUCAUUGUAUAGGUGCUCAUCUUUAUGGUAGGACCUACUAAGUUUUGAAAUCCCAUUAUUCCACCAUGUACAGAAGAAAUUAUUAAAAAAAAAAAAAGAUAAAGUAAUUUUUUUAAUAUUGAAUAUUUAUUUUUUUCUGUAUGAAAUAAUUUAGUAAAAAUUACAAUUCCAUAAAAAAUAAGCAUAAAAAUUUUAUAUUUGAAUAGCUCUUUAACAACUUUAUUUUAAUUUAUUUAUUUUUUUCAACCAUUCCAUAUAGUUGUAAGUAAUAAUAUCUCAAUUAUUUCUUGUAAUUGUAUUAUAAAAAAGGAUAAAUGGAAAAAUAGAAAUAUUCCCUUUCUCUUGGGUACAUGGAGCUAAGGUAGUAGGUUUCUUUUCUUUUUCUUUUCAUUUUUAUUUUGCUUUUAUUUGUUCUUUGAUGAGCCUUUCCAACAUGUUUCAUUAGUGGAAAAGGUCAGGCUGGGUGUUGUAUUCAUAUUCCAUUAAUUCUCUUAUUUGAUUCAAUAUUUUGAAUUUGCAAGUUUAAUCCAAGUAUCUAGAAAUCAUCUCCUAGAAGUUUGGAUUUUAUGGAUAUAUUAAGAAAUAUCGAUCAAAAAAUAAUUAAUAAAAUAAGAAAUAAUACAUAUGUUCAAGUUGCUAUCAAGUCUCAUAUUUUUUUCUUUCAUGAGCAAGAUGAAAAUAUAGGUUUUCAUCAAUAUAUUAUAGUUAGAUUUUAUGAAUAUAUAAAUAAUACCAACCAAAGAAAUUUUGAGAAAAAAAAUUGAUAAAACAAGAAAUAAUAUAAAUGUUCAAAUUGUUACUUUUAAAUAAUAUAUGUAUAAUAAAUUUGUAAUAUCGAGUAGUAAAUCAAUAAUAUGUAAAACUUUAAAACAUAUUUUAUACAUAAAUAUCUAUUUUAGAUGUAUUUGAUGAUAUAAUAAAAAUGAUGAUAUAGGUAUGAUUUUUAAAAUGUUUAUAAUUUUAUUUUAAAAUUUAUAUUUCUAUUAUAUAUAUAUAAUGUUGGUUAUACAAAAAAAAAAUAUCCACAAAAGUUGAGGAUCAACAUUCCAUAAAAACUAGGGCUUCAACCAAAAUUUUACUUACCCAAAAAAUUUGGAGUAACAUCCAUAAAAAUUGGAGCCUCUAAAUAAAAAUAAGAGGGAUCAUUGGGAUAGUUUUCACAUAGUGAGUGUGCUACUGUGUAUGAUUACACAUUGGAUAAGACUUACAAUGAAUCGUGACAUUAGUUAUAAGGUAGUCAUGAUUCAUCAAGAUACUAGCUAUGUUGCAUAGGGUCCCAACCUUGAGAGAAUUAAGCUAGUAUUGAAAUUUUUAGUGGCUUUGACUUAUGUGUAAGAUCUGAAAGUGGUUGUAUAUUAUUUAUGGAUUGAGUCACCACUAAUUAAGGCAUAUGACAAAAGAUAUUCUCAACAUAGACACCAUGAUAUCUUAUGGGAUUGAGAUAGUGUAUCCCAUUGGGUGAUUAUAAGGACUAGUAAUCAUGUAAAUUAUGGUCAUAUAAAUUCUUUAAGUGGAAUUUGACAUAUGCUCAUAAAGAGUUGAAGUAUGUAAGUUGAUUAAAAAAUAGAAGAAUUUGAAACUCGAGGAUUAGAGAGCUAAUCUUGAGAGGUUGAUAGUAUUUAUCUCGUCAAAUUAUGGAUACCAAUUUAUAGGAAGUUUUUUAUACAAUUGAUUAAUAGGUCAUGGAGUGAGCUUCAUAUCUUGAUUUCAUAUUGAAGAAUACUAGAGUGCGGUUGACUAUCUUGAGUAUGAGGUUGAGUAAAACUUCAAAAUUAAAUUAUGAGGGAAUCAAUAUUCUCCUAUAGUUUCUAGUGAUCUCCACUCAAGCUCACAUUCCUUGGUGGCACAUCAUUUGAGGAAUAAAUGAGUUUUUUUAUUCACAAGUGCACUAAAGGGAUUUUAGUAAAACCACAAGGUUGCAUAGGAGUUUAUCAAUGGUCUUUCUAAAUUAAGCUAAUUAAUUAAUUGGAACCUAAUAGAGCUAAUUAAUUAAUUAAGGCCCAGCGAACUAGAUUAAGUGACCUAAACUUAGGAUGAGCUUAACUUAUUUAAGCCCAUAGGUAGGUCUAUAUAAACCCCCUUAAGGAUUAGGACUUAUAUGAUAUAAGUUAUUCUAUUUUCCAAAAAGAAGAGAGAACUCUAGUCUUCAUUUCUAUGGAGAAGAUUACAUUUUUCUCACAUGCCAAGGUUCGGGAGAAAGUUAUGAAGUAGAAGAUCAUGAGGUAAAUUUUCAAGAUCCACAUCAUCUUAUUUUUCGUUUGGAGUUUGAUUUAGGAACAUUUAGAUCAAAGUUAUACUUUUAGGCCUUACAUAUAUAGUUUCUAUAUCUUUAUCACUUAUGUUGUGUAGAUCUAGCGUCCUUAGGUUGUUAGAGAGCAUGGACCUAUGAUCUAGGGGUUUCCCAACAGUUACCUUGAUAUAUGACUCCUGUGGACCUGCAUUUUUCACAUGCGUUCCCACUCAAUCGGCGAGACUUAUUUUUAUUGGUGAAAAAUUAGUUUUGAAAAAGUUGGAGUCGCCACUUAUUUUAUUUUAUUUUAAAAGGGAAAAUAAAACAAUAAAGAAAAUCCUAAAGAAGUGACUCCAUAGUUUUGGAAAAGCAAGUUUUGAAAAACCUGAGCCUUGGUUUGGGAAUCAAGUUACUUAUCAGGAAGGUACCUCUAAGAGGUAGCACCCCUCUAAGCCUUAAAGAGGUCUCUAGUGACUAAGUUGAGGGGAAUGUGACAAUUAAUUAAUUGAUUGAAAAUACCUAGGUAGACUAAGGUGAUUUUAGAAUUAACAUGCCAAGCCAGAAAGUCAAAUCUUGAUCAUAAAAGAGAGUCAAAGUGUGUAUCUGGACUGCUUCUUAAGUGCUAUCAUAAAACAUCAAAGUUAGUAUAAAAAUAUAGUAUACUAUGCAUUUUUAUCAAAGAUAACCAAACGAUCCAACCUAUAUCAAGGCAAUCAAAAGGGCAAAGUGUUAGAGAUGUCCAUGGUGUGCACUCUCCAUGGUGCGUGAUCAAUCCCAAAUUGGACUGUACAUCCAUUGAAUUGCAGCCCAUGGAGGUUAUGGACUGGCAGUAGAAUGAAGCCUUCAUCCAUGCGUGUUGCCUUGUCUCUUCUUACCUUUGGAAAAUGCAACCUACUCGCUUUGGAUCAAUGGCGUACAUGGUUCUCUUGAAGAUACCAUGGAGAUCUUUAUGGAAAUUGGGAUAUGGACCCCUCAAAAGUUGCAACCCUGGGGAUGCUUGUGCGUGGAUUGGUUGUCUUCAACCCAUAGUGCGUUCCAUGCUUAGUGAACUCUCCCAAAAAUUAAUCCCAUUCAGCAUGUAAGUUUGAGCAAGGUGAUGUUCGGAGUCCUGAUGGAUGCAGCCUCAUCCAAAAAUUUGGCCAUAAUCUACUUUUAAAAGUCAUCCCAAGCAUGAUUCCCCUUUAAAAGAAUGUCAACCAAUCAUUUUUUGUUUGAGAUGGUGUUAUGUGAGUGAUUUUUCCUAAAAAAUCCAUUACUGUGUGUGCUGUGUAGAAUGGAGAAUCAUGGUCUCCCAUGUCCUCCCUUAUGGCAACCUCCUUUUUACUCUCUCAUAGCCUGGAAUCUCCCCCUACCCCAAAUAGAACUAUCCAACAUUCUUCAUUCAACAUACAACCUUGCCAUUCUGUUUGUAUCCAAAGAUGAGAUUUAUCCAAUGAUGUAGAUUUUCUGAAACAAAAUCGGAUUCUAGUGUUUUUCUAUGCUUCUUGAUAAACUUUCUAGCACUGCGUUUGGCCUAAGGAGGUAACACAACAUCACCGACCUUUUCUCCUGAUCAUUUUUAUCCCAGGUCAAAAUUGAAACGAUUUCCCAAGAACUCUAGCAUGUAGAAGAAUUAUGGAAUUAGUUCAUUCACAUUUGAUGUGUUGCCCUUUCUAGCUGCACUUAACCAAGUAUCUCUUACACUAUUGAAAAGACGAUCAACAUGGUCAAACUGACCACCUUGUAACUUUUGGUUGUUUGCACUAAAUGGUGGCAGGCAUAGUAGAUCGAAUAAGACAAUUCUUGCACUAGAAUAAUGAGAACCAUCAUAAAAAUUGGGGACCUCCCAUUUUUCCUUCUUUCUCCAAUCUUCCCAUCCCCCGAGUAGAUCCACUCUUCAGAAUGAAUCUCUUCCCAACGUCUUCUCCAACAGCUCCUCAUUGGAAAAUCCUUUCCAAGACUAGAAUUUGCCCACAUACCUCUCUGCUCCAUUUUCUUUCCCACCUAGCUCUUCCUAUGUCUUUAGAGUUGUGAACAGAAGAGACAACCCUAACCCCCUCUACAUUUUCACUGAUUAGACAGUCUCGACUCCGAUCGCUUGGCUUCCCGUUGUCGUUCCUCUCCAAAAUCCCUUCAAAACCAAUGUACCACCAGUUCUGUUCCUUCCAAAAACAUUCUAAAUCUCCCUUCAUAACCUACGCAUCUCGUCAAAGAAUUUUUCCAAGAUACAUUUGUCUGGGAUCACCUUCCAUACCACCAUUUUUUCCUAUCAUUUCCUUAUUCCAAAAAAAAAUCUCUGCCACUUUCAUUUCUCGAAAAUUCUAGUGAUUCUCUUUCCAAAUAAAUGGCAACCCGUUUUCUCAUGCAAAAAAGCCAAGAAAUAUUAGUUAGAAAACUUAUAAAAUAAUAUAAUAUAAUAUAAUAAAAAUAAUAUAGAAAGCCAUACAAUCCACACAAGUCAUGCAGGUCAUGCAAUCAUGCAAGUCAUAUAAAAAGUGAGCCUAAAAGUGCCCAAGUGACCUAGGGUGAAUGUGUGCAAGAUGGAAGGUGUCUAGGAUGUUUAGGACAAUGCAUAAGUCUAAAUUAGGGCUGCCAAGAGUCACAACGGGGUUAGAUAAAUCAUUCAAUCAGAGUCUCCAAGGUGGUUAAAAAAGGGUAAGUAGUAUGAGUAAUAAUGAGCCACCAGGGAAUUGUUGUAAAGCACCAAACGAACACAUAAUGCGACAUAUGCUAGAAGGACAAAAUGGAGGGUUUGCACUCCUUACCAUUUCAUCAUUCUAUUAUUGUAGCCAAUGUUGCCUUUAAUCCUAACCUUGCUCAUGUUCAUGGAUGAGACAAAAUCAAUUGAUUUUACAUGCCAUAUUAGCCUCCCUGUGAUAUGUUAUAAUUACUUUGAUGUAAUUUGUUGGAAAUACCUAGAUAUCUCCAUUCCUAUCCCUAGAUCAUUAGGGUGCAAGCAAACUAUCCUAAGGGUUCUCUAAAUAUAAAGUAGAAGCAUAGUACACAUUCAAACUUAGAUAUAGAGAAAAAGAAUGUUUUAUCUAUGACUUGGAUGUUCUUAGGUCAAAUCUAAUUAGUGAAGAGUCAAUGUGGAUCUCGUAGACUAGUAGAUUUUCCACUCGAUAAGACUUUUCUAGAUUUUGGCACAUGAAGAGGUGGAAUCCUCUCUUGAGGAUGGAGACUAGGGUUACUCUUUGUGGAAAAGUGAAUGGAAUACUACAAGUCUUAAACCUCUAAGGGGGUUUAUAUAGGCUUACAUGUGGGUUUAAGUGACUUAAGUCCAUUUUAGGCUUGAAUCACUCUUGAAUCCUAAUCAAUUAACCCUAUUGGACUACAACUAGCCAACUAGCUCAAUCCACAAAGAUAAUUCAUAAGCUUUUGUCCAGCCUUGCAUGUUUGACCAAAUGCCCUCAUGCACACCAAUGAAUAUAGAAUCCACAAAUCCCUUAAAAACCAUGCUAGCAUGGAAUAUGAGCUCAAGUGGGAAUUAUUGAGACCCAUAGGAAAAUAUUGGUUCCCUUAAAAUUCAAUUAUGAAGGUGAAUUAACAUCCCAUUAUAAAGAGUCAACUGCUCUUUUAUAUUUUACGAUAUUAUAACGGAAUACUAAUUUUAGGUUUGUGACAUACUAUCCAUUAUAUAUAGACUCCCCAUGAACUAGUAUCUAUAAUCUAAGGAGGUGAAUGUUAUCAACCUUCCAAUACACCUCUACAAUUCUUCAGUCUUAGAUUCUCUUAUUAUGUGAUCAACUAACAUACUGUAACUUUCUAAGAGCCUAUGUCAAAUUCCAAUUAAGGAAUUAUUAUGGCCAUGGAUUUCCUAUUCAUAUAUCCUUAGGAUCACCUAAAAAGACAAAUGAUUUCAAACCUAUGAAAUAUCAUGAUGUUUGUCUUGAAUAUACUUGUGCCACCAACUUUUAUCAACAAUGACCUAAUUUAUAGAGAAUACAUGGGAACCUUAAGGUUUCACCCUUAGUUAAAAGUCAUUGAAAACUUUAGUACAAGCUUAGUACCCUCUCCAGGUUGAGAGCUCAUAUAAUAUAGUAGCUUGGUGAGGUCAAGACCAAUUGAUAGCCAAUAUCAUGACUCACCCUAGGUCCUGUCCAAUGUGUAAUCAUAAACACUAGUGUACUCACCAUGGGCAAACCAUUUUGAUAACUAAGAAAAGUCAUUCCUCCUAUUAGGAAUUAGUACAUUGCAACCUUAAAUGAAUUGCCUAAGUUUAUGAACCAGUUGUGAAUAACUCAUCUAUUUCCAAGGAACCUAUGACUUGGAUCAUUUGUGCAACUCCUAAUGCAGCUAGGUUAUAUGCACUGCAAGAUAUGUCAAACCUGAAUGCUUUGAUAAUGUAAUGCAUGAAGAGGAUAAAUAAAAAAGGACAUUAGAAUCAUAUUAUAGAUAAUAAAAUCCUUUAUUGUUACAUCAUGUCAUGCUUUUUAGGGUUUUAUUCUAAUAAUCUCCCAUUAGCCCUUAAAACAUACUAGGAAUACAUUUGACACCUAUGCUACGCUAUGAUCACUAAAAUGAUCAAAGGCUUUUGACUUUCUCUUGGAAAUGUGAAAAAUGAUUAUACUAAGAGAAGUCAUCAACCUAACUACGACAUACCUCUUACCUUCCAUGUUCAUUGUCUUUAUAGGAGCCAUAAAGUACAUGUGAAUCAAAAUUGGUGGCUUAUUAGUAUUGACUUCAUUAAUUCUUUUGUAAGGCCUUCUAACUUGUUUUGCAUUGAGACAUUCUUCAAAAAAUGGGAUUAUUAGGUUCACUUAGCUUAGGGACAUCUCUAGUAAGAUUUCUAUUUUCCAUGGUGAUUAAAGUCUAAUAGUUAAUGUGUCUUAACCUUUUGUACACUAACUUAAUUGAAUCUAACUGAGCAUUGUUUCAAUCUACCGAAGGACUAGAACUAAAUGGUACACUAAAUAUGUUGGAAUAGAGCCCUCAAAAGCAUGACAUGAUGUAACAGUUUUAGAUAAUUAAUUAAUUUAUUUAUCUACUUUCCUUUAUUAUCUUAUUUACAUUAAUUGGUUAUUUAAACAUACACGCUCAUAUCGUUUACAUUGUACGUGACUCAGAUGCAUUAGGAGUUGCAUAAACGAUAUAAGUCAUGGGUUCCUUACAAGAUAGUAAGUUAUUCACAAUCGAUUCAUGGAUUUAGGUAACUCAAUAGAGGCUAUAGUACACUAUCUCCUAAUUAGAGAGAUGACUUGUCUUAUCCAUUGGGAUGAGUUUCAAAUGGUGAAUGCACUAGUGCAUACGAUUACAUAAUGGAUAGGACCUAUGAUGAAUCAUGAUGUAAGGCUAUUGGUUGUCAUGAUUCACUGAGCUACUAUAUUACAUAGACUUUCAACUUUGAGAGGAUAUUGAGCUUGUGUCAAAAUCAAUAGAAGACUUUGACCUAUGAGUGAAACCCUAAUAUGGUCAUAUAUCCCUAUGGAUUGAGUCACUAUUGAUGGAGACUAGUGGCAAUAGAUAUUCUCAAUAGAGGUACUAUGACAUCUCUUGGGAUUGAGAUAGUAUGUCUUAUUUGAUGAUCUGAAGGACAUGUGAUCAAGAAGACCAUGAUCAUAUCAAUUCCUUUAGUGGAAUUUGACAUAUGCUCUUUAGAGUUUGAAUAUGUCAAUUGAUCGCAUAAUAAGUGGAUCUAUAACUCAAGGAUUGUAGAGCUAAUCUUGAUAGGUUGAUAGUACUACCUUGUUAGAUUAUGUGCAUUAGUUCAUAAAAAGUUUGCAUGCAGUGGAUAGUAGGUCACAGACCUGAGCUUCACCUUAUUGUAAUUUCAUAGGAUACUAGAGUGUAGUUGAAUUUUUUUAGUGGAAUGUUAAAUUGACUUUAAAAUUGUAUUCUAAGGGAGCGAGUAUUUUCUCAUAGGUCACAAUGGUCCUCGCUCAAGUUUCUCAUUCAUGGAGGCACAUUUUUAUUUAAGGGAUUUGGGUAAAAAUACAAGAUUGCACUAGAUAUUAUGAAUUAACUUUUUGGAUUGAUUAAUUAAUUAAUUAAUUGGAGCCCAAUAGAACUGAUUAAUUAAUUAGGACUCAUGCAUGUGGGUUGGAUUAGAUGAACCAAGCUUAAUUUGGGCUUAAAUCACUUAAACCUAUAGAAAGCCCUAUAUAAACCCCCUUAGAGGUUUAGGGUUAAAUAUUUUUGCCAUUUUGUCUUCUAGUAAGCCACUAGAUAGAAACCCUAGCCAUACUAUAAAGAAAAUCCUAUACUUUUCUCAUGCCUAAAUUUGUGUGAGAAGAGAUUUAGUGGAAGACCAAUAAGUAGAUGAGCUCUACAAUGCUUUCUAUGGUUUUAGAAUCUUCAUCAAUAUCUUCUACAAAUUAGAAUCAAUAUGAGAAAAUCCAUAUUGCAAGUAUGGUUUCUAUAUUCUUAAGAUCUAGGUCCUUUUAUGGUUUUUGAAUGCCAUGUUUCCACUAUGUUAGAUCUAGAGAGCCAAGGGUUAGAUUGCAUGCACCCUAUACAAUCCACAACUAAGGAAUGGAGUAAUUUGGGUGUCCCAGCAUUAUACUCAAUCUAGUAAGAAAACACUUCCCUCACUCAUCCUAGAUUUCGCAUUUGUCCUAGGAGAACAUUGCACUAAACAGUUAUCAUAAAUUUGGAUAAUAUUAAUCAAAUUAGCUUUUAGUCCAACAACAUACAUCAUUUCGUAGAGCCUAAGGCAUCCAAGUAACCAAAUAGACUUUUUUCCUUUUUACAUAGGUCAUCUCCAAAAUGCCUCCUUAGGAAUCAUUACAUCAUUUUUAUUAAGUACAUUGCAAUCUUUAAACUUUAUAAAUUUUAUCUUAUCAAACAAACUAAAUUUUUUAGAUUCCAUAGUGUGGACUCGCAUUUUUCACAUGCGUCCCCACUCGAUCGACGAGACUUGCUUUUUAUUUGUGAAAAAUUAAUUUUAGAAAAGUCAGAGUCGCCACUUACUUUAUUUUAUUUUAAAGGGAAAAUAAAACAAGAAAUAAAAACCUAAAAAAAAUGACUCCGUAGUUUUGGAAAAAAACAUGUUUUUUAAAAACCCAAGUUUAGGUCCGAUGAUCAAGUUACCUAUUGGGAAGCUACCUCUAAAAGGUAGCACUCCUCAAAGCCCUAUAAAGGUCUCUACUGACUAAGUUGAAGGAAACGUGGCAAUUAAUUGGUUAAUUAUAGAUACCUAAGUAGGCUAGGUGAUUUAAAAAAAUAGCAUGCCAAACGAGAUCAAAUCAAUCACAAUCAUAUAGAAGAUUUAGGGUGCAUACCUGAACCACUUCUUAAGCUCAAUCACAAAACAUCAAAGGUUAGUUUAGAUAGUAUAUCACCCAACAUGCACUUCAUCGUAAAUAAUCAAAUAAUAUAACAAUAUAUCAAGACAUCCAAGCACUAUCAAACAUAGACAUAAUUUACAAUGACAAUCAUAUUUAUAGAAUUCAAAAAGUGGGUGUUAGGGGGCAUACCCGGAUAGCAUAGACAACUCAUAAUAUGCUUCCUCAUGACAUGGGGGGUUAGAUAAUAAAUAAUAAAUAAUAAAAUAAGAAAUCCUAACAUGCUUAGUAUCUAAUUAGCAUAGCAAAAAUGAUCAGAAUAUACGAAAUAAUCAAUUAUCACACACAUCUUGUAUACAAUUCCUAAAAAAAAAAAAAGAUAGAUAUGAUUACAACAAAUGGCAAGGGUGGUAGCAAAAAAAGUUUUGAAAAGAUUUUUUUAUGUAGGGUUUCACCAAUUCCCCAAUUGAUAUACACAAAUUUAGCCCAAAAUUAGCCCAUUUAUUUGGGACCACAAGCUUUGAUUCGUGUUUUGUUCAAAACCAAAAUUUUCAUUAAAAACUAAGAAGGAUGCAAACCGAUCAAGACAUGGUUGCAUGCUAUUUAAGAAGACGAGAUUUUGAUUCUAAGAACUCUAGAUGAAUUUUUUUAAAAUAGAUUUCCAAAGAGAUCUUUUGAGAAAAAAGUGUUUUGUUUUUAAAAUAAAAGAAAUUAAUUUUUAAAAUAACAAAACAUAGAAAACAAAAUACCAACCAAAACAAAAGGAAAUGAAGAUCACAAAAUAAAGAUUUAGACAAUCAUGCCAAUCAAAGUGGUGAGAGUAGGGCCAACCUUCAUGGGUUUCCAGUGGCCUUACAAAAAAAAGGAUUUGGCCAACAAUCACUAAGGCAACAAACUAAUGACUUCCUAAUCAAACAAAUUAACAAAAAUAUUGUCCAAGACUAACAUCUGGAUUUCAAGAAACACAUGAUAAAAAAGAACAAUCAAGGAUUAAAGUCAACAAAUUAAGCAUAUGGAGAUAAUAAUAUGGGAUCAAUUAAGGUAAAUUAGUAUUCUAACAAAAUAUGAUAAAUCAAAAACCAAAAUUUAGCAAUCUUGAAAAUAUGAAAACAAUAACAUGCAAUUAACUAGAUUGACUAUCCAAAAUUCCUAAAACUCAUACUAAAUAUUAAUAGAUCAAAGCCAAAAUUACCAUACUUAAAACAUGAAAAUAAUAACACGUGGAAUUAACUAAAUUAAAUGACUGAAACUCUAAAAACACUAAAAAUGAAUAUUGAUGGAUCAAAUUGAAAUGGCCAUACAUAAGACAUGAAAAUAAUGAGGAAUCACUAAAUUAAUUAAUUAAAAUUAUGAUCAACUACAAAAUUGGAUGUAAAUGGAUUAAAAUCAAGAUUAAUGAAAAUCAUAAAUGCACAAACUCAUUCAAACUAAAAAUAAUAAUUAAUACUAGAUUAAAUUAGAAUUAAAAACAUCAACAUCAUCUAAAAGAUUGGCUAAACUAUCCAAUUGAAAUUGCAAAGACAUUUAAACUAGAACAAAUAAAUAAAUCAACAAGUUAAAACUAAACUAAAAUCGGAAUUAAAAAUAUGGAAUUCAUCUAAGGGGGUUAAUUAAAUAAUUGAAUUAAAAUCAUAAAUGCAUUCAAAUUAUAAAAUAUUAAAAUUAAACUAAAUUGAAAUUAAACUCUAUCCUAUGAGAUUAUUUAAACUGAUGAAUUAAAAUCAACAAAUGCAUUUAAGCUAAAAACAAGUUAAAAUCAAACUAACUGAAAAAAAAAAAAAAAACAUACUUUAUUUGACAUGAUUAUUUGAACUAAAGAAUUAGGAUCACUAGAUGCAUUUAAACUAAAAACAAAUUAAGAUCAAAUUAAUAGGAAUUAAAGACGCAAACUUUAUUCAAUAAAAUUAUUUAAACUAAGGAAUUAAGAUCAAUGAAUGCAUUUAAACUAAAAACGAAUUAAGAUCAAACUAAUCGGAAUUAAAAGCACAAACUUUAUUUGAUAAAAUUAUUUAAACUAAAGAAUUAAGAUCAACUAACACAUUCAAACUAAAAAUAAACAUAGAACUAAACUAAUCCGGAAUUAAAAACAUAAACUUUAUCUCACAAAAUUAUUUAAACUAAUAAAUUAACACCAUAAGUGCAUUUAAACUAAAAUCAAACUAAUCGGAAUUAAAAAUAAAUAAAUAAACUUUAUCUCACAAAAUUAUUUAAACUAAUAAAUUAACAUCAUAAGCGCAUUUAAACUAAAAUCAAACUAAUCAGAAUUAAAAAAAAAAAAAACUUUAUCUCACAAAGUUAUUUAAACUAAUAAAUUAACAUCAUAAGCGCAUUUAAACUAAAAUCAAACUAAUUGAAAUUUAAAAAAUAAACUAUAUCUCACAAAAUUAUUUAAACUAAUAAAUUAAAAUCACUAACAAACUUAAACUAAAAGGUGGAUUAGAACUAAACUAAUUGAGGAUUUAAGAAGAAAAUAAUAUAAACUUUAACACAAGGAAUUAAUCAAAAACUGAAAUUUCAAAAAAAUCUAAGCUAAAUAAAAAUACUAUAUAGAAAGCUAACCUGUGAAGUGAAAGAGAAAAUCCUCUCGUGAUGCGUCAAAAUAACAGCCCAUCCCCGCCCGAAAUCCUUUGUUCUCCUCCAAAAUCCCACGUACUUCUCUCUAGAAAAAUUGUUCUCAGUGUGUCGAUCUCCCUAAAAAAAUCUGUGCGCGUCCUCUCUAGAAGAAUUCUGCUUUAUGUCUUGAUCUCUCCACAAAAAAAAAAGUCCCUUGCGUGUUCUCUCUGACCCUUAUUUAUAUGGAAGUACCUUCCUUCUAUCGGAUAUUCUAUUUCCUUUUUUAAUGCACAUGGAUAUGGAAAGCGCAUACAUGGUGGCUCACUGGGAGAUUCCCUCAAGGAUGCAGCCGUGUCUUAUUUGGUAAGUGAUCAAAUCCUUACCAUGUUGACUUUUCUUUCUAGAAAAACAAAAAAGAAUCUCCUCACAGCCCACCAUAUGCGUGUUGUGCACAAAGUGGCCACUUCUUACCUAUUUUCAUGCUAUUUUCCUUUCUACUCAUCCAUCUGCACCGCAACGCUGCAUCCCAUUCCAUCUCACUCUGUAGUUGCAUGGCAAUCUUUGCAUACCAAAUUAUAUUUGAUUCUGAGGCAAACGCGCUGAGCAUUGCUUCCAGAACCGAUUGCUCCACCGCAGUCCAAUCCGUUGCGAUACCCAGAUUGUGUUUCUUCGCCAUCCUGUUGCAUGGGUGUCCCUAAUGCGAUACCGAAGAUGAAGCUUUUGGAGCAGGCGACCAUCUCCGUUUUGGUCAUUGAUGAAGUCCGGAGUCUUCUUUUUCUGAUACAAUCGAGGCAUGAAGUCCCCAUUCUUUCGUAGUUGAUGCACGUGGUGCUGAUGCUGCUGCGGAAUUGAGGAGUUGUCAUCCACCAGAUUGGGCCGUAGGCACAGCUUUGAGCUGCUUGGAUGGAGCUGCGUGCGUGUGAUUUUUUUGGCCCGUUCCUCUUCAUCCUGGGUGCGUGUUCCAGAUUUUCUGUAGGCGACCCCCCAUUGACCAUUCCUAAUGGCUUAUUUAUUGAACAAUUACCAUUUGCCACAGAAUUGUCUAUUAUUGUAUGAGGUAUAGUGCUUGUUGCUUAAAGGCUCCUGUGGACAAGUUAUUUUACUGUCAUCUGCAUAUUUCUUGAUCAAGUUACUCCCUGAAUAUGCAUUCUCUGGCAUGACUGAUGAUUGCACCCGGUUAGGAAACAAUCGAAUGGGAGAUAUGAGACUUUUUGAUGCAUGUUUGCUUUUUGCCUUUUCAUGAUGGGAAAGAGAAGUAUCAGAAUCAUUUUCAUUGUUUGAAGAAGCAUCCCGGAAACUCCCUUUCAAAAAGGAAGAAAUCGUAUCAUCUUCAUCCCCUUCAUUUAAUGAAGUUCCUAAUUCUGGGUCACCAAGGAGGCUCCUUGCUCUUAGCAAUGCAUCACUAGAAACUGAUAUCGACCUUCCACCUGCAGUAUGAAACUUGAUUGGUGGUGGAUUUUGUGCAGGACUAUACAUUUCAGACUGCUUAAGGUUGGGAGCAGCCUCAUUUGUUGAUUCUGUUCUCCAAGAAGUGCUAGUACUAAAAGGUCUUGGAACUGGUUUGGCAUUCUCACUUUUUAUACUGUUCAAAUCUUCUUGCAUCUCUAAAUGAGAUGAAUUUUGUCCACCAUCUAAGCCAUUCAUCACACUUUGCUUUGUGAUGUGUUCUUGACAAGAAUGGUGAUUAUUAUUUUCUUCUAACCCCAACAAACCUUCUACUGUAGCAUCUCUUAUAUAUAGAUCUAGCUUCAUUUAUCUGGCCUGCUUCAAGUUCCAUCACAUUAUAGCCUUCCCAGGCUCCGAACAUUGAACUACUGUUCCUAAGUAAGCUCUCCCAAACUCCACGAGCUGCAACUAGAUCUUUAUUCAGAUUUAGCUCUAAAGGAGCCCAAUAAGCAUGCAAUCGCACCAAAUCAUCUGUGCAAUGCAUACUGAAAAGCGUCCUCUAUCAAUGCAUAAUCUAAAACCUCUUCUUGCCGAGGUAUUGAAAUUCUUCUCCUCCAGAUCUGUCAGUCUCCACUUUCUAUAUAUAAAAAAUAAAAAUAAAAAUUCCUUUCCUUUUACCUUCAGUUGUGAUCUGCCUUCCUUUUUUAACAAUAUAAAUCUCCUUUACAUCCUCCAUUCAGCCGUGAUCUGCCUUCCUUUUUUAACAAUAUAAAUCUCCUUUCCAUCCUCCAUUCAGUCGUGAUCUCCUCUACUUGAUGGCUCCAAGUCUCAUACAAAAUUAAAAAUAAAGUGGAGAUAAAAAAUCAUAUAAUUGGAAAUUGAAUAAAAUAAAAUAGAAAAUCAAAUCACAUUGUCACGAAAAUCCAAUAUGUCAAUUCAUGGAAUUAAAGAAUGAAUGGAUAAGUGAGUAAAUAAAUAAAUAAAUUGAUAAGGGUAUAUAAAUAAAUAUUAGAUGUCUGCAAUUAGAAAAAAUCAAGAAAUUAUAUUAAUGCAACGGAUUAUAAUAAUUUAAAUGUCAAACUCAAACUCUCAAAAAUUUUAAAAAAUAAAAAAUUCAUUUCAUCAAUAAAUAGUCAAGUCAAUACUCAUCCUAUCUCAGAAAAGGAAGUAACCAAGAUCAAGAACACGCCUAAGUGGGCUAUGCCAAAAGAAGUGUCCAAGUGACCUAUUCUGAAAAGGUGCUUAAGUGACCUAAGGUGAAUGUGUGCAAGCUAGAAGGUGUCUAGGUGAAUCUAAGUAGGCUUGGGUGAACCUAGAUGAGCCUAAAAAUGCAUAAGUGACCUAGGGUGAUAUGAAAAGUCCCUAAGGUAAUAAAAAAGGUAUCUAAGUGAAUCUAGGUGAAGUGUAAUGUGCCUAAGUGGCCUAAAAUGAGUGAGUGUAGGCUAGAAGGUGCAUAGGAUGUUUAGGACGGUGUCUAAGUCUAGAUUAGGGUUGCCAAGGGUGCUUAAGUGGGCCUAAGGUGGUGUCUAAUAGGUUAAAGGUGGUGCCUAAUGGGCCAAGUGUACCUAAGUGGGCCUACGGUGAGACUAGGUGAGCCUAACUAGGUCUAGCCUAAAGUGCACCUAAGAACUAUCCUAAAAAGGAAGGAAAAAACCAAACUCUAAAUUAAGGUUGCCAAGAGCACAAAGGGGUUAGAUAAAUCCCUCAACCAAAGUCCCCAAGGUUGCUAAAAAAAAAAAGAUAAGUAGUAUGAGUAACUAUGAGCCAUCAAAGAACCAUUGUGGAACACUGGAAGUGAACUUAAAGACAUGUGCUAAAGGGACAAAAUUGAGGGUCUACACAUAGCCAUAACAUUGUUGCACAAACUAUUAUUUUUAUAAUUACAAGAAUCUAGAAUACCAUGCAUUUCAUGAAUUUUAACAUUCAAAAAUUCAAUAUUACAAAUUGUUUUUGUCAUUUUUUUAUUUUCACAUUUUCACAUUUCAUUUUGAAGCUUUCAUUCUAUAGAAAAUUAUAAGUAUCUUAUAAAUUUUUAGGUUCUUGCUCUUUAUUUUAUUCAAAGGAAUUUCCAUAUUCCUUACAAUAUUCUUUUUUUUUUUAAUUUCUAAUUUAGCUACUUUAAGAAAGACUAUAAAAACAACAAAAUUUGAGCUUUUAUUACUCUCACUAGAGUCAUUUGAUUUAUUCCCAUUAAACUUUGAAUCGCAUUAAGUCACUUCCAUUACUUUCUUGUUUCUUUUGGGAAUAGAGUAGUAAAAAAAAAGUGCCUUUUUGUACCAUCUUCAUAGAAAUUGGAUUAGGAUGAUGGUUUCUAUUUCCCUUUAUUCUUAGUGAUAUUUCCUUUCUUUUUCUUGAAGUUAAUUUUUUGUUAUAUUUCUUUUAAAGUUUCAUAGAAGAUUUAAAUUUCCUAAUAAACAUUGAUAUUUCGAUUUUAGUAAGGAUUUGCAUCUUUAAUCAUGAGCCUUUAUUUAUUUUAAUCUUCCAUAGAAGCUUUUAGACUGGACUCUUUUGACUUCUUUGAAGAUAGAAGGAUUUGACUAGCUCAUACACUCUCAAGGUAUUUACAUUCUUGUUUUUUUUUUCUUUAGUGAUAACCUCAAGCCUAAAUCUCAAAAGGAGAGAUCUCAAUAUUUUUCUUACUACCUUAGAUUCUAGGGUCCUUUUACCUAGAUUAAAGCUUGAAUAACUUAGUUUAAUGCAAAAUUUAGAGAAAUAUUCAUCUUUUUUCAUUCCCAUACUCUCAAAUUUGGAAUAUAUAUAUAUAUAUAUAUAUAUAUAUAUAUAUAUAUAUAUAUAUAUAUAUACUUCUCAAUAGAAAUACUGUUAUGAGUAACAACCAUGAUAUCCCAAACUUCUUACUAUAUUUACAAUUGUACUUUUCUUCUUCAAUCAUAACAACAACAUAUUCAAAUUUUACAUUAAAUAUCACAUAACUUUCUUUACCAUUCUUUGAUCAUCACACUUCUAACAUAUGGUUUCUGUAGGACCUCAGGCGCUACCAACUCUCCUAAAAGCAAUUGCUUGUAGGAAAGGCGCAUACCNNNNNNNNNNNNNNNNNNNNNNNNNNNNNNNNNNNNNNNNNNNNNNNNNNNNNNNNNNNNNNNNNNNNNNNNNNNNNNNNNNNNNNNNNNNNNNNNNNNNUUUGGGGAAAGGGCCCUUCCCUAACCUUUUUGGGCCUUCCCCCAAGGCCCCCCGGGGAACCAAAGGGGGGUUGGGGGGGGGGGCCCACCCUCCGAUUUCCCAAAAAUUUCCCCCCCCCCCCCCCCCCCCCCCCAGCAACACCCCUGGGGUUCGAACCCGUAACCUCAGCUCUGAUACCACUUGUAGGACCUGCUUUUAGGAGAGUUGGUAGCGCCUGAGGUCUUACAAUUGGUAUCAGAGCUUGGGUUGAAGAUUUCUGGAAGAGUAAAAGAUCACAAAGCACACAAGAUGAAAACAAAGGAAUUUUCACUGAAGGUGGAGUCGAUUGCUCUUUCGUGGUGAUAUGAUACAAAAAGGUUUGUGUCAUAGAGAGAUUGAAGAUUAACUUCAUGUAAUUUGGUCCAAGGUGGAGAUUGUUGGGAAGUGUCCCAAAUUCCUAAUUAGUAUAGAUUCCUUUUUGUAAAGAAUAUUGUAUAGAAUAUUUCUAGGUUGAUAUAUUAUUGUAAUAUUAGACUUCCUUAUAGAAUAAGGAAGGUUGUUGGAAAUAUCUCUAUAAAUAUUCUAGGUCAUGAGGGGAAAAAGUUAUGAGAUGGAGAUGGGCCUAUAGAGACUAUACGAGGUGGCUAGAGAUGUGAGGAAGAACGGGAGGUACCUGGUGGAGCGAGAGAGCUCGUAGUAAGGUAUGGAUACAAGGAGUGGGGAAACAUGGGAUGUUUCGGGAACCCAAUAAUUGUAUCUGGUUCUAUCCUCUGUAAUAUUCUCUAUUGUAUAGUGGAAUUAUUCUCUCUCAUCCGUGGACGUAGGCAUGGUUGGCCGAACCACGUUAAAACCUCGUGUACCGUAUGUGUGAUUGUUUUAUCUUUGUGUUCUUGAACUAACAUUGUUGGAAUCAAAGCUUUCGCUGGCGCUACAGUUUCCAAUUAUUUACACCUUAUCAAAAUAAUUUGAGAUUGAUUUCGAGUCAUUCAUGUGGAUAUACUCAAAUUUACUUAUUCCUAUUUGCAACUUCAUUCUUUUGAUGUGAUCAUCAACUUUGUAUAAUUUUUUAUUUUUUUUUAGUACCGUACGUGUUUUUUUUUUUUUUUUUUUGUUUACUAUUAAGCCCUUUAUUAGUAGGGUUGUUGGGAAUCAAUCCCUCCUUGAAAGCAAACCACUAAUACUCAAUGGCUAGAUUGAAACCUAUGGAAUUACCCUAGCAUUGAUUUAAGGAUCCUCUUGACCCAAAUGAUCAAACAAAAAAUAAAACCUCUAAUUCCAAUCAUUGGAGAUAUUAAUGGAAAAUGAAUCAAUAACUGUAUUCCGGAUAAAUGGUUGACUUACAAUAAAAUGACAUUAGAACUAAGAGAAUUGGGUAGCUAUUAUGCUAUCAAUUAGAUCACUAACCCUUGUUAGUUGUUGGUUAGGUUCUGGUGUUCCUCUAUUGCUUUGAAUAUUGCAUAGGGUGUUUUUUUUUAUCUUUCUUUAGAGAAUCUUCAAAUAAAUAUUUAUGCUCAUUUGAUGGUGUUUUCAUAUUAGCAAACAUUGUUGUAGUUAUUAUUAGGUUGUAUAAAUUUUAAGAUAUAAAUAAUACAUACAUCUUAAUACAUCAAUUGUCGAAAUUCUUAUAAGUAAAAUUGGGAAUUGAAAUUGAAUUUAGUUAUUAUUUGCAUCCAUAAUUUAACUAAUAAAAAUUGUAGAUUUCUUGAUAUUCUAGCAACUCCUUAGUAUUAUAGCUUUGAUCUUCUAGUACAUUUUUUUAUUUUAUGACUUUAAUAUCACAUGUUUGAGGAUCGUUUCGGCGCCGUUUUGGAGCCGUUGAUAACGCCGCAGUCGGGGACCUUAGGAUCGUUUGGGGUUGUAGUAAAUAAAUAAAUAAAUAAAAUAAUACCACCCAACCCUAUCUGCAAUGUGGCACUAAUAGAAUCAACCCCCUGGUCCCACAUAUAUUAUAUAUAUAUUCAACCGAAUAUAUAUAUAUAUAUAUAUAUAUAUAUAUAUAUAUAUAUAUAUAUAUAUAUAUAUAUAUACCUACCACAUUGGACCUCUUUAUUGUGCUUACAAUACAAAUUUGAAAACCUUGCACACGUGUCGUAGCUUGGUGGCUAGUCCAAUAUUGGAAAUAGAACAAAUGGACAUGCUAUAAUAAUAAUAAUUUUAAAAAAAAGGGCCACUGUGGGGCUUGAACCCACGCGAGCCCAAGAUUGAGAGCCUUGCACUCAACCAACUGAGCUACGAGAUCCUUUUGUUUGUUUAUGAUUUUAUACCAAUGAAAUUAUGAUUUUGAUAUAGGAAUUUACCAUUUCUUGUUACAUUUAUGUUUAAUAUUUUUAAAAUAAAUAAGUUAUGUAUAUUUGUUGUCAAAGUAACUUAUAUUAUAUAAUUUUAUUUAUUUUUGAAAUAUUUAACAUAUUAUUAUUGUAUAAAAUAAUCGGACCAAAGGAAGAUUAUUUUAGUAUAAUAAUAAAUAAAGUAUUCAUAAAUAUAUGACAAAUAAAGUUUACCUUACUUGCUGUAUGUCAGUCUAAAGACAAGCAUAUUGCUUCGGUUAUGUUGUCAAUAUUUAUGAAUUAAUUUUGUAAAAGGAUAUCAAUUACAAGUUGAUAUUUUUUGUCCAAAGACUAAAUAUUAAUGUUUGUGCUAGGUAGCUUGUAAUAGGCUCACAUGCAUAUAUAUAUAUAUACGUUAAAUUUUUAUUUAUUCAUAUAUGUGUGAUAUUUUUGUGACUGAUUGUGAACUUUAUUGUUAUGAAUUCAACAUUUUCUAUAUCUGCUAAUGUGAAUAAUAUUCCUAUGCUUGGCACAAACUUCAAGAAAUGGAAAGAGCACGUUAUAAUUGUGCUCGGAUGCAUGGAUUUGGACUAUGCAUUGAGAGAGGAUCACCCUCCAGACCUUAUUAGUGCCAGCACUGCUGAGCAAAGGGCUGCUAUGGAAAAAUGGGAGCGGUCCAAUCGCAUGAGUCUAAUAAUAAUGAAGCACUCAAUUCCAAAAGCUAUAAGGGGUGUAAUACUUGAGGAAACUCGAGCCAAGACAUUCUUGGACUAGAUAGCAAACCGAUUCGCUACAAACGAAAAUGUUGAGACAAACACUAUUCUUAGUAAGCUUGUCUCCAUGAGGUACAAAUGAAAAGAGAAUAUAAGGGAGUACAUAAUGGAAAUGUUCAAUCUUGUGACUAGAAUCAAGGCACUAAAGUUAGAGUUGUCACAAGACAUACUCGUGCACUUGGUCUUGAUCUCUCUGCCUACACAAUUUAGUCCAUUCAAGAUCAGUUACAAUACACAAAAGAAAAAAUGGACUCUGAAUGAGCUUAUUGCUUAGUGUGUACAAGAGGAGGAGAGAUUGAAACAAGAGAAGAUAGAAAGUGCUCACUUGGCUUCCACAUCUCAAGGAUUUAGUACCAACAAGAAAAGAAAGAGGGACAAUAAAGGAAAACAAACUGCAUUUUUUGGGACAUCAAAGCAAAAGGUGCAGAAGAAACAAGAUAAGAAGAUCACUUGUUUCUUUUGCAAGAAGGUUGGUCAUAUGAAGAAGACAUGUACCAAAUACGUUGCUUUGCAUAAAAAGAAAUGUACACUUCUCAACCUUGUUUGUUCAUAAAUUAAUUUAGCUAAAGUACCUAUUAACACUUGGUAAAUAGAUACGGGUGCAACUACUCACUUAAGUGUCACAAUGCAGGAUUGCCUAAGGAGUCGAAUGCCAACUAAUGGUGAAAGAUACAUCUAUGUGGGAAAUGGAAACAAGGUUGCAAUGAAGGCUAUUGGUAUUUUUAGGUUACAAUUAGACUCUGGAUGUACUUUGGAUUUGGAAGAGACUUUUGUAGUACCAUCGUCUAGACAGAAUUUAAUUUAUGUUUCAUGUCUGGACAAAUGUGGAUAUUAUUGUUCCUUUAGAAAUGGAAUGGUUAGUCUUUAUUUAAAUUCAAAUAUUAUUGGUACAGGUAGUCUAACAGACAAAUUAUACAAAUUGAACAUAAAGGCCUCUAAUGGAAAUGAAACCUUGCAUUCAAGUAAUUAUGGUAUUAAGCGAAAAUUAAUAAAUGAGAAUUCAUCAAUGCUAUGGUACAGACAUUUGGGUCAUAUUUCAAAUCAACGUAUUCAAAGACUUAUGUCAGAAGGAAUUCUUGAUUCACUUGAUUUCUCAGACUUUCAAGUCUGCAUAGAGUGUAUUAAGGGUAAACAACCAAAUAUGAGGAAAAAUGACACCAAUAGGUCCAGUGAUGUCUUGGAAUUGAUACAUACGGACAUUUCUGGUCCAUUUCCUACCCCUUCUUAGAAUGGACAACAAUAUUUUAUCACUUUCAUUGACGAUUACUCAUGCUAUGACUAUCUUUAUUUGAUUCAUGAGAAGUCUUAGUCAUUGGAUGUGUUCAAGAAUUUUAAGGCUGAAGUUGAGAAUCGACUAAGCUAGAAAAUAAAGACCGUUAGAUCUUACCGUGGAGGUGAAUAUUAGAGUAGAUAUGACGAAUCUGGUGAACAACGUCCAGGGCCAUUCGCCAAAUAUUUGAUGGAGUGUAGUAUCAUUCCUCAGUACACCAUGUUGGGGACUCCAAGCCAAAAUGGUGUAGCAAAAAGGCAAAAUUGUACUCUUAAGGAUAUGGUAAGAAGUAUGAUCAAUCAUUUCACCUUACUAGAAUCACUUUGGGGCGAAGCUGUCAAAACUACAGUUUACAUUUUGAACAGAGUCCCAAGCAAAGCAGUAGCCAAAACCCCAUAUGAGUUAUGGACUAGCAAGAAACCUAGUAUUAGGUAUUUACAUGUCUGGGGUUGUCCAGUUGAGGCUAGGCCUUACAAACCAAAUGAAAAGAAAUUGGACUCCAGAACAAUGAGCUGCUACUUUGUAGGGUAUUCUGAAAGGUCGAGAGGUUUCAAGUUUUAUGACCCCUCAUCUAGAUCCUUCUUUGAAACGGGUAAUGCUAAGUUUAUUGAGGAUGUUGAGUUAAGUGGGAGAGAGCCAUUAAGAAAGGUGGUCUUUGAAGAGGAAUCUAUUAGUAUUCCUAUUAUUACAACUAGACAUGGUCAUAUUAUGUUUGAUGACACUAUCCAAAAUAUACAACUAAUAACAAAGAUUGAAGACACACCUGAGAUUCUUCCUACGCAAGUUAUAGAACCAGUUCAAGUUCAUGAAGAGGUAACUCAACAACCUCAAGAACCUCAAGUAUAAGUGCCACUAAGAAGAUCCACUAGAGAAAUGAGAAGUAUAAUUUCAGAUGAUUAUGUUGUAUAUCUCUAGGAACAUGAGUUUGACAUGGGUUUGGAAAACAAUCUAAUUUCAAUUAGUGAAGUCAAAUAAAGUUCUGACUCUGAAAAGUGGAUAGAACCAUGAAGGAUGAGAUGAAAUUAAUGAAAGACAAUGGUGUUUGGGACCUAGUAGAGUUGCCUGAAAGUGUAAAACAGAUUGGUUGUAAAUGGAUUUUUAAGACCAAGCGGGAUUCAAAAGGCAACAUUGUUAAGUAUAAGGCACACCUAGUUGCAAAAGGUUUCACUCAAAAGAAAGACAUUGAUUAUAAGGAGACCUUUUCGUCGAUUUCGUCAAAUGACUCCUUUAGAAUUAUCAUGGCACUUGUGGCUCCUAAUGAUUUAGGGCUGCAUCAAAUGGACAUUAAAACUAAGUUUCCUAAUGGUAACAUUGAUGAGACAAUAUACAUGGUGAAACUGGAGAACUUUGAGUCUAAUGAUUCAAAACAACUUGUAUGCAAAUUAAAAAUGUCCAUAUAUGGUUUAAAGCAGACAUCUCGACAAUGGUACCAAAAGUUUGAUCAAGUGAUUACUUCAUUUGGUUUUAAGGAGAACACCGUUGAUCAAUGCAUACAUCUCAAGUUCAAUAGGAGCAAAUUCAUUAUCUUGGUGCUAUAUCUAGAUGAUAUUCUACUUGCCAGUAGUGAUAUAGAACUCUUGCAUGAAACCAAGCGAUUUCUAUCUAAUAAAUUUGACAUGAAGGAUCUUGGUAAUGCAUCUUUUGUGCUGGGUAUACAAAACUAUAGGGAUCAUUCAAGAGGUAUACUUGGGCUAUCACAAAAGUCCUACAUCGAUAAGGUGUUAAGUAGGUUUGGCAUGAGCAAUUGUGCACCAAGAGACACGCUUGUGGCAAAAGGUGAUAAAUUUAGUUUGCACCAAUGUUCGAAAAAUGAACUUGAGAAGAAGGAUAUGGAGAGGUUUCCCUAUGCCUCGAUAGUAGGAAGACUCAUGUAUGCACAAGUUUGUAAGCGUCCGAAUAUUACAUACAUUGUUGGAAUAUUAGGUAGAUAUUUGAGUAACCUAGGUAUGGAUCACUGGAAAAAGACAAAACGGGUUAAGCGGUAUUUACAAAGAACUAAAUAUUAUAUUCUCACAUAUCGUAGAUCGAGUCAUUUAGAGAUCGUGGGAUAUUCGAACUCUGAUUUCGCGGGAUGUCUUAAUAGUAGGAGAUCCACUUCAGGCUACAUCUUCAUGUUGGCUGGAGGAGCAAUUUCAUGGAAAAGUGUUAAACAAACACUUAUUGCCUCUUCCACCAUGGAGGCAAAAUUAAUAGCUUGCUACGAGGCAUCAAAACAUGGGAUAUGGCUGCAGAAUUUUAUCACUCAGUUGCGAAUCGUUGAUGGGAUUGAGAAACCAUUGAGAAUCAACUGUGAUAAUAAGGCCGCAGAAUUAUAUUCUAAGAACAACCGAAGUUUGUCAAAGUCCAAACACAUUGACAUCAAGUUCUUGGUUGUGAAAGAAAGAGUUCAGAGUCUUCAAGUAUCAAUUGAACACAUAAGCACAAACUCUAUGAUUGCGGAUCCACUCACUAAGGGUUUGCCACCCAAAGUAUAUCAUGAGUAUGUCACACAUAUGGGUGUUGUAAAUAUUAAUGAUGUACUAGUAUAGGGAGAGUUUGCAUUUAGAUUUUGAGUAUUGUUAUAUUUGCGUUAUCUGUACAGACCUUGGUUUUAAAGACUAUUGUGUUUAAAUACUCUGAAUUGAAAUGAUGACUUUCAGAAGUAGUUUAGCAUCAAGUGUUGAAAGUGCAAUUUGACUAUUUUUUUAGUCAUAAAGUAGGACCAAUUGGAAAUAGACAUAUUAAAUAUCACAUUCUAUGUAAUUUCCAUGCUACACAUCCAUACUUGAUCCAUGUUGCUAAUUUUGUUAAUGUUGUGAUCAUUGAUGGGUCUAGUUAUAAUUAUGAUUAACAAAGGUUGCUUUAAUCCUAUGUUAGCAUAAUUAGUAGACCGGAUUGUUUAAGGAUAUUUAUAUAUAAUAGUUAAGAUGAGCUCAAUAAAGUACUAUCAUGAACAUUGUUCUGUAAUAUAUGUGGUCCAAGUGGGAGAUUGUUAAAAUAACUAUGAACUCACAUAUGGAGCAUAGUUUAUGAUUAGGCUAUUCACAUUCACGUAUUUAUUUUUUUAUUUUUUGUUCUAAGGUAUGGGCCACCUCAUGUGUAGAGCCCAAUACCAUAUGUGUCUUAGAUGAUGGGCCUAAGACACAUAUGGCCAAAUAUUUAAAGGGAAUGGUCCCUAAGGCAUAGAGGAUAUAUAAGGCAAGUGUCUGCUCAUUUUUUAAUAUAUUUUAGAAUAGAACAAAACGUGCUCUCUCCCGGUUCCCAUCAUCAGAGAGAUUACAAAAGGGUGGUUUCCCUGCUAUAGCCUUUGAAGAUCCAUACCUCAUUCAACAAACGACAAUGGACUUAGGUUUGUUUUCUUUCUAUAAUAAACGUCUGGUAUAAUUUCUUCACAUGAUUAAACAUACGAUUCUUGUCUGAUGUUAUUGGAUUUACAAUGGAGUUCCUUCACCAAGUGCAAUUGUAAAGGUUGGGCUAAUAACAGGUGAUAUGCAGGUGUUACUAAAAGUAAUUAUUAAAGGUUCUCACUUUGUCAAUACACUGAUAGAAUUGGUGGGAACCCCACUUUCUCUCGUAGCAGUUUAAAGACUUUUCCUAUCCAUAUUAGUAAAAUGAUAUGUAUGUGCUAUGCACGUGACUAAAAAUAAUAAUAUAGAGAGAAAAAUAAUAUAUAAUAAUAAUAGACAAUAAAUUAUUUAAUUUAAAAAAAAAAAUUUAAUAAUACUAAAAUAAUUUGUAAGAGUGAUUAAUAUGUGAUAUCAUAGGAGAGAGUUUUUAACGCUAUAUACAUAUAGGUUCCUUAAUUAUGUAGGCGCAUUUUAAAGUUGUGAGGGCUCUUGGAUUCAAAGCAGACAACAUCAACAUAGUUGGAUAUGAGUUAUUACAAAUUUUAUCAGAAUCGAUCUCUGACUCUGGUAUGAGGGUUUGUUUGGCCCUAUGAGGGGUGCCUAUUUGUUUGGCCCAACAAUUUCGUAGGAUACAACGAAGACGUUGUAUUUACAUGAGAAGUGUUUGUGAUAUCCCACAUCGGAUAUGAGAUAAAGUUCUUAAUACUAUAUAAAUACAAGUUUCUUAAUUAUAUAGACGUGUUUUAAAACCAUAAGAACUCUUUUGAAUUCAGAGUAAACAAUAUCUACAUAAUUGAGUAUGGGUAUUUAUAAAUAAUACUAAAGUCAAUCUCUGACCCUGGUAUGGGGGUUUGUUUGGUCCCAUAAGGGCGUUUGUUUGUUUGAAUCCUAUGGGAAACAACGAAAAUGGUGUAUCUGUAUGAGGGGUGAUUAUAAUAUCCCACAUUAGAAAAGGAAGAAAGUUUAUGACACUAUAUAAAUAUAAGUUCCUUAAUUAUAUAGAUGGGUUUUAAAACUCUUAAUUAUGUAAACGUGUUUUAGACGUGUUCUAAAGCAUCAUAUGCGUGGUUACAUAGUAUGUAAUUAUAUAUUAUUUAAAAUUCCUUAUAUAAAGAAUAAUAUAUUAAAUAAAUAUAGAAAAUAAUAAUAAAUAAAAAUUAUUUAAAACUCUUCAUAAAAAGAAUUUAAAGAAAUAUGAAAAAAUAAGUAUUAGAAUAAUAUGAUAGUUUGUUUAAUUUAAGUUGAUAAUUUUAUUUCAUUUAUCCUAAUAAAAUAUUUUUCAUAUUUAUCAUGUUUUAUAAAUGAAAUAAUGUGAAUUUUAUGUCACUUUUAAUUAAGCAUAAUAUUUUUUAUUUUUAUAAUAAAAACAAAAAUCAUUUGGAGUGCUCAAGCUCUCGAACCCUAGCGACCAAGCACUACUUUGCAAUAAGAUUUUUCGUGUCAUGAAGUAUGACAUGAUGCGUCACCAGACUCACCACCAUCCACAUACCAUGGUUGAUCGUCAAUGAUAGUAGGUGGUACGUCGGAAGAUUAGGUAAGACUUCGAGUGUGAGAGUUGUCCUUAACGUAGACUUGCACUCUCUCCACACAAUUGUUUUUGACGUUUUCCAAAAUCAGUCCUUUGUAAGCUGGACCACGUAAAUGUAAAUUCUUUAAUUAAAAAUGGACUUGGGAUAAUAAGGGAUAUUGUGAUUUGGUAAAGCCACCAAGUCGAUCCACAGAAAUUUUUGUGUACCUAUAGAACUCACAAAGCCUAGCAAAAGGUCAACAUCUUUAUCAAUGUAUCAUACGGAAAUACUAGUGAGAACUUUUUUGAUGUUGUUUUGAGAAGAGGUUUGAACGCCAAAUUGAAAUAGACUAUUUUGUAAUUUACCCCCAAUGAAUAUGAGGUAAUAUGAUAAAAUUUAAAUUUAUUUUUAACAUCAAUAGUUGAGAAAGAAGCACAAAAUUAAACUAAGGAAAUUGAAUUAAACUAACAUUAAUUUUCGAUAAUUAAUAUAUUAUGAUGUCAUAAAAAUUUAUUAUAUUAAAUUAAUAAAAUAAUUUUGAAUAAUGAAACUCAAAAUGAUUAAUUAAAGUUACAAAUAAUAAAUUUGCAAAUUGAAGCUUAUUUUUUAUUAUUAUUAUUAUUAUUGUUGUUGUUGUUGUUAUUGUUGUUGCCUCAAAUCAUUAUAUACAUCACCCAUGCAACUCACGGGCCACAAACACAAUCUGCCUCAAAUCAUUAUAUACAUCACCCAUGCAACUCACGGGCCAGAAACACAAUCCUCAGUCACAGCAAUGGGGCAGCACCACUUCCUCAUUAUAUCACAUCCACUGCAAGGCCACAUCAACCCAGCCCUCCAAUUAGCCAAGCGCCUGAUCAGAACCGGCGCCCACGUCACAUUCGCCGUCUCCGUCUCCGCCCAUCGCCGAAUGCCCAAAGAUCCGACCCUCCCCGGUUUAACCCUAGUCCCCUUCUCCGAUGGCUAUGAUGAUGGGUUAAAGUACUCCAAUGAUCAUGCCCAGCACUAUAUGUCCGAGAUCAAG